CCUUGUGUUCAUCUGUCAGCUCCUCCAAAAUUUAAAAACACAAACAAGAUAACUCCUACUUUAUUUUCCAACCAUCAAUUUUUUAUUCACCCAGCCUAAAAGUCCUGAUUAUCAGUUCUGGGUCCCUGGCAAUGACUGUUGGGUACAAACUGAGAAGCUGUGCUCUGAAGGUAGGGCUGGGCUUUUCACUGACCAUGUAGGUGGAUUAGUUGUGUGGGCAAAGUGUGUCAUCAUAGCCACUAUGUUUUCUGCACUUGGAGUAGACAGCACCUUGAUAGCUCAGUUGGUAGAGCAGAGGACUGUAGGCAGUUCCUCCUAUGAAGUGCUGUCGUUCCAGGGUCGCUUGUUCAACUCCCGCUCAAAGCAAGCCUUGUCUUCAUCUGUCAGCUCCUCCAAAAUUUAAAAACACAAACAAGAUAACUGCUACUUUAUUUUCCAACCAUCAAUUUUUUAUUCACCCAGCCUAAAAGUCCUGAUUAUCAGUUCUGGGUCCCUGGCAAUGACUGUUGGGUACAAACUGAGAAGCUGCGCUCUGAAGGUAGGGCUGGGCUUUUCACUGACCAUGUAGGUGGAUUAGUUGUGUGGGCAAAGUGUGUCAUCAUAGCCACUAUGUUUUCUGCACUUGGAGUAGACAGCACCUUGAUAGCUCAGUUGGUAGAGCAGAGGACUGUAGGCAGUUCCUCCUAUGAAGUGCUGUGGUUCCAGGGUCGCUGGUUCAACUCCCGCUCAAAGCAAGCCUUGUGUUCAUCUGUCAGCUCCUCCAAAAUUUAAAAACACAAACAAGAUAACUCCUACUUUAUUUUCCAACCAUCAAUUUUUUAUUCACCCAGCCUAAAAGUCCUGAUUAUCAGUUCUGGGUCCCUGGCAAUGACUGUUGGGUACAAACUGGGAAGCUGCGCUCUGAAGGUAGGGCUGGGCUUUUCACUGACCAUGUAGGUGGAUUAGUUGUGUGGGCAAAGUGUGUCAUCAUAGCCACUAUGUUUUCUGCACUUGGACUAGACAGCACCUUGAUAGCUCAGUUGGUAGAGCAGAGGACUGUAGGCAGUUCCUCCUAUGAAGUGCUGUGGUUCCAAGGUCGCUGGUUCAACUCCCGCUCAAAGCAAGCCUUGUGUUCAUCUGUCAGCUCCUCCAAAAUUUAAAAACACAAACAAGAUAACUCCUACUUUAUUUUCCAACCGUCAAUUUUUUAUUCACCCAGCCUAAAAGUCCUGAUUAUCAGUUCUGGGUCCCUGGCAAUGACUGUUGGGUACAAACUGAGAAGCUGUGCUCUGAAGGUAGGGCUGGGCUUUUCACUGACCAUGUAGGUGGAUUAGUUGUGUGGGCAAAGUGUGUCAUCAUAGCCACUAUGUUUUCUGCACUUGGAGUAGACAGCACCUUGAUAGCUCAGUUGGUAGAGCACAGGACUGUAGGCAGUUCCUCCUAUGAAGUGCUGUCGUUCCAAGGUCCCUGGUUCAACUCCCGCUCAAAGCAAGCCUUGUGUUCAUCUGUCAGCUCCUCCAAAAUUUAAAAACACAAACAAGAUAACUCCUACUUUAUUUUCCAACCAUCAAUUUUUUAUUCACCCAGCCUAAAAGUCCUGAUUAUCAGUUCUGGGUCCCUGGCAAUGACUGUUGGGUACAAACUGAGAAGCUGUGCUCUGAAGGUAGGGCUGGGCUUUUCACUGACCAUGUAGGUGGAUUAGUUGUGUGGGCAAAGUGUGUCAUCAUAGCCACUAUGUUUUCUGCACUUGGAGUAGACAGCACAUUGAUAGCUCAGUUGGUAGAGCAGACUAAUGUAGGCAGUUCCUCCUAUGAAGUGCUGUGGUUCCAAGGUCGCUGGUUCAACUCCCGCUCAAAGCAAGCCUUGUGUUCAUCUGUCAGCUGCUCCAAAAUUUAAAAACACAAACAAGAUAACUCCUACUUUAUUUUCCAACCAUCAAUUUUUUAUUCACCCAGCCUAAAAGUCCUGAUUAUCAGUUCUGGGUCUGGCAAUGACUGUUGGGUACAAACUGAGAAGCUGUGCUCUGAAGGUAGGGCUGGGCUUUUCACUGACCAUGUAGGUGGAUUAGUUGUGUGGGCAAAGUGUGUCAUCAUAGCCACUAUGUUUUCUGCACUUGGAGUAGACAGCACCUUGAUAGCUCAGUUGGUAGAGCAGAGGACUGUAGGCAGUUCCUCCUAUGAAGUGCUGUGGUUCCAAGGUCGCUGGUUCAACUCCCGCUCAAAGCAAGCCUUGUCUUCAUCUGUCAGCUCCUCCAAAAUUUAAAAACACAAACAAGAUAACUCCUACUUUAUUUUCCAACCAUCAAUUUUUUAUUCACCCAGCCUAAAAGUCCUGAUUAUCAGUUCUGGGUCCCUGGCAAUGACUGUUGGGUACAAACUGAGAAGCUGUGCUCUGAAGGUAGGGCUGGGCUUUUCACUGACCAUGUAGGUGGAUUAGUUGUGUGGGCAAAGUGUGUCAUCAUAGCCACUAUGUUUUCUGCACUUGGAGUAGACAGCACCCUGAUAGCUCAGUUGGUAGAACAGAGGACUCUAGGCAGUUCCUCCUAUGAAGUGCUGUGGUUCCAAGGUCGCUGGUUCAACUCCCGCUCAAAGCAAGCCUUGUCUUCAUCUGUCAGCUCCUCCAAAAUUUAAAAACACAAACAAGAUAACUCCUACUUUAUUUUCCAACCGUCAAUUUUUUAUUCACCCAGCCUAAAAGUCCUGAUUAUCAGUUCUGGGUCCCUGGCAAUGACUGUUGGGUACAAACUGAGAAGCUGUGCUCUGAAGGUAGGGCUGGGCUUUUCACUGACCAUGUAGGUGGAUUAGUUGUGUGGGCAAAGUGUGUCAUCAUAGCCACUAUGUUUUCUGCACUUGGAGUAGACAGCACCUUGAUAGCUCAGUUGGUAGAACAGAGGACUGUAGGCAGUUCCUCCUAUGAAGUGCUGUGGUUCCAAGGUUGCUGGUUCAACUCCCGCUCAAAGCAAGCCUUGUCUUCAUCUGUCAGCUCCUCCAAAAUUUAAAAACACAAACAAGAUAACUCCUACUUUAUUUUCCAAACGUCAGUUUUUUAUUCACCCAGCCUAAAAGUCCUGAUUAUCAGUUCUGGGUCCCUGGCAAUGACUGUUGGGUACAAACUGAGAAGCUGUGCUCUGAAGGUAGGGCUGGGCUUUUCACUGACCAUGUAGGUGGAUUAGUUGUGUGGGCAAAGUGUGUCAUCAUAGCCACUAUGUUUUCUGCACUUGGAGUAGACAGCACCUUGAUAGCUCAGUUGGUAGAGCAGAGGACUGUAGGCAGUUCCUCCUAUGAAGUGCUGUGGUUCCAAGUUCGCUGGUUCAACUCCCGCUCAAAGCAAGCCUUGUGUUCAUCUGUCAGCUCCUCCAAAAUUUAAAAACACAAACAAGAUAACUCCUACUUUAUUUUCCAACCAUCAAUUUUUUAUUCACCCAGCCUAAAAGUCCUGAUUAUCAGUUCUGGGUCCCUGGCAAUGACUGUUGGGUACAAACUGAGAAGCUGCGCUCUGAAGGUAGGGCUGGGCUUUUCACUGACCAUGUAGGUGGAUUAGUUGUGUGGGCAAAGUGUGUCAUCAUAGCCACUAUGUUUUCUGCACUUCGAGUAGACAGCACCUUGAUAGCUCAGUUGGUAGAGCAGAGGACUGUAGGCAGUUCCUCCUAUGAAGUGCUGUGGUUCCAAGGUCGCUGGUUCAACUCCCGCUCAAAGCAAGCCUUGUGUUCAUCUGUCAGCUCCUCCAAAAUUUAAAAACACAAACAAGAUAACUCCUACUUUAUUUUCCAACCAUCAAUUUUUUAUUCACCCAGCCUAAAAGUCCUGAUUAUCAGUUCUGGGUCCCUGGCAAUGACUGUUGGGUACAAACUGAGAAGCUGUGCUCUGAAGGUAGGGCUGGGCUUUUCACUGACCAUGUAGGUGGAUUAGUUGUGUGGGCAAAGUGUGUCAUCAUAGCCACUAUGUUUUCUGCACUUGGAGUAGACAGCACCUUGAUAGCUCAGUUGGUAGAGCAGAGGACUGUAGGCAGUUCCUCCUAUGAAGUGCUGUGGUUCCAAGGUCGCUGGUUCAACUCCCGCUCAAAGCAAGCCUUGUGUUCAUCUGUCAGCUCCUCCAAAAUUUAAAAACACAAACAAGAUAACUCCUACUUUAUUUUCCAACCGUCAAUUUUUUAUUCACCUAGCCUAAAAGUCCUGAUUAUCAGUUCUGGGUCCCUGGCAAUGACUGUUGGGUACAAACUGAGAAGCUGUGCUCUGAAGGUAGGGCUGGGCUUUUCACUGACCAUGUAGGUGGAUUAGUUGUGUGGGCAAAGUGUGUCAUCAUAGCCACUAUGUUUUCUGCACUUGGAGUAGACAGCACCUUGAUAGCUCAGUUGGUAGAGCAGAGGACUGUAGGCAGUUCCUCCUAUGAAAUGCUGUCGUUCCAAGGUCGCUGGUUCAACUCCCGCUCAAAGCAAGCCUUGUGUUCAUCUGUCAGCUCCUCCAAAAUUUAAAAACACAAACAAGAUAACUCCUACUUUAUUUUCCAACCAUCAAUUUUUUAUUCACCCAGCCUAAAAGUCCUGAUUAUCAGUUCUGGGUCCCUGGCAAUGACUGUUGGGUACAAACUGAGAAGCUGUGCUCUGAAGGUAGGGCUGGGCUUUUCACUGACCAUGUAGGUGGAUUAGUUGUGUGUGCAAAGUGUGUCAUCAUAGCCACUAUGUUUUCUGCACUUGGAGUAGACAGCACCUUGAUAGCUCAGUUGGUAGAGCAGAGGACUGUAGGCAGUUCCUCCUAUGAAGUGCUGUCGUUCCAGGGUCGCUUGUUCAACUCCCGCUCAAAGCAAGCCUUGUCUUCAUCUGUCAGCUCCUCCAAAAUUUAAAAACACAAACAAGAUAACUGCUACUUUAUUUUCCAACCAUCAAUUUUUUAUUCACCCAGCCUAAAAGUCCUGAUUAUCAGUUCUGGGUCCCUGGCAAUGACUGUUGGGUACAAACUGAGAAGCUGCGCUCUGAAGGUAGGGCUGGGCUUUUCACUGACCAUGUAGGUGGAUUAGUUGUGUGGGCAAAGUGUGUCAUCAUAGCCACUAUGUUUUCUGCACUUGGAGUAGACAGCACCUUGAUAGCUCAGUUGGUAGAGCAGAGGACUGUAGGCAGUUCCUCCUAUGAAGUGCUGUGGUUCCAGGUUCGCUGGUUCAACUCCCGCUCAAAGCAAGCCUUGUGUUCAUCUGUCAGCUCCUCCAAAAUUUAAAAACACAAACAAGAUAACUCCUACUUUAUUUUCCAACCAUCAAUUUUUUAUUCACCCAGCCUAAAAGUCCUGAUUAUCAGUUCUGGGUCCCUGGCAAUGACUGUUGGGUACAAACUGAGAAGCUGCGCUCUGAAGGUAGGGCUGGGCUUUUCACUGACCAUGUAGGUGGAUUAGUUGUGUGGGCAAAGUGUGUCAUCAUAGCCACUAUGUUUUCUGCACUUGGACUAGACAGCACCUUGAUAGCUCAGUUGGUAGAGCAGAGGACUGUAGGCAGUUCCUCCUAUGAAGUGCUGUGGUUCCAAGGUCGCUGGUUCAACUCCCGCUCAAAGCAAGCCUUGUGUUCAUCUGUCAGCUCCUCCAAAAUUUAAAAACACAAACAAGAUAACUCCUACUUUAUUUUCCAACCGUCAAUUUUUUAUUCACCCAGCCUAAAAGUCCUGAUUAUCAGUUCUGGGUCCCUGGCAAUGACUGUUGGGUACAAACUGAGAAGCUGUGCUCUGAAGGUAGGGCUGGGCUUUUCACUGACCAUGUUGGUGGAUUAGUUGUGUGGGCAAAGUGUGUCAUCAUAGCCACUAUGUUUUCUGCACUUGGAGUAGACAGCACCAUUGAUAGCUCAGUUGGUAGAGCACAGGACUGUAGGCAGUUCCUCCUAUGAAGUGCUGUCGUUCCAAGGUCCCUGGUUCAACUCCCGCUCAAAGCAAGCCUUGUGUUCAUCUGUCAGCUCCUCCAAAAUUUAAAAACACAAACAAGAUAACUCCUACUUUAUUUUCCAACCAUCAAUUUUUUAUUCACCCAGCCUAAAAGUCCUGAUUAUCAGUUCUGGGUCCCUGGCAAUGACUGUUGGGUACAAACUGAGAAGCUGUGCUCUGAAGGUAGGGCUGGGCUUUUCACUGACCAUGUAGGUGGAUUAGUUGUGUGGGCAAAGUGUGUCAUCAUAGCCACUAUGUUUUCUGCACUUGGAGUUGACAGCACCUUGAUAGCUCAGUUGGUAGAGCAGACUAAUGUAGGCAGUUCCUCCUAUGAAGUGCUGUGGUUCCAAGGUCGCUGGUUCAACUCCCGCUCAAAGCAAGCCUUGUGUUCAUCUGUCAGCUCCUCCAAAAUUUAAAAACACAAACAAGAUAACUCCUACUUUAUUUUCCAACCAUCAAUUUUUUAUUCACCCAGCCUAAAAGUCCUGAUUAUCAGUUCUGGGUCUGGCAAUGACUGUUGGGUACAAACUGAGAAGCUGUGCUCUGAAGGUAGGGCUGGGCUUUUCACUGACCAUGUAGGUGGAUUAGUUGUGUGGGCAAAGUGUGUCAUCAUAGCCACUAUGUUUUCUGCACUUGGAGUAGACAGCACCUUGAUAGCUCAGUUGGUAGAGCAGAGGACUGUAGGCAGUUCCUCCUAUGAAGUGCUGUGGUUCCAAGGUCGCUGGUUCAACUCCCGCUCAAAGCAAGCCUUGUCUUCAUCUGUCAGCUCCUCCAAAAUUUAAAAACACAAACAAGAUAACUCCUACUUUAUUUUCCAACCAUCAAUUUUUUAUUCACCCAGCCUAAAAGUCCUGAUUAUCAGUUCUGGGUCCCUGGCAAUGACUGUUGGGUACAAACUGAGAAGCUGUGCUCUGAAGGUAGGGCUGGGCUUUUCACUGACCAUGUAGGUGGAUUAGUUGUGUGGGCAAAGUGUGUCAUCAUAGCCACUAUGUUUUCUGCACUUGGAGUAGACAGCACCCUGAUAGCUCAGUUGGUAGAACAGAGGACUCUAGGCAGUUCCUCCUAUGAAGUGCUGUGGUUCCAAGGUCGCUGGUUCAACUCCCGCUCAAAGCAAGCCUUGUCUUCAUCUGUCAGCUCCUCCAAAAUUUAAAAACACAAACAAGAUAACUCCUACUUUAUUUUCCAACCGUCAAUUUUUUAUUCACCCAGCCUAAAAGUCCUGAUUAUCAGUUCUGGGUCCCUGGCAAUGACUGUUGGGUACAAACUGAGAAGCUGUGCUCUGAAGGUAGGGCUGGGCUUUUCACUGACCAUGUAGGUGGAUUAGUUGUGUGGGCAAAGUGUGUCAUCAUAGCCACUAUGUUUUCUGCACUUGGAGUAGACAGCACCUUGAUAGCUCAGUUGGUAGAACAGAGGACUGUAGGCAGUUCCUCCUAUGAAGUCCUGUGGUUCCAAGGUUGCUGGUUCAACUCCCGCUCAAAGCAAGCCUUGUCUUCAUCUGUCAGCUCCUCCAAAAUUUAAAAACACAAACAAGAUAACUCCUACUUUAUUUUCCAACCGUCAAUUUUUUAUUCACCCAGCCUAAAAGUCCUGAUUAUCAGUUCUGGGUCCCUGGCAAUGACUGUUGGGUACAAACUGAGAAGCUGUGCUCUGAAGGUAGGGCUGGGCUUUUCACUGACCAUGUAGGUGGAUUAGUUGUGUGGGCAAAGUGUGUCAUCAUAGCCACUAUGUUUUCUGCACUUGGAGUAGACAGCACCUUGAUAGCUCAGUUGGUAGAGCAGAGGACUGUAGGCAGUUCCUCCUAUGAAGUGCUGUGGUUCCAAGUUCGCUGGUUCAACUCCCGCUCAAAGCAAGCCUUGUCUUCAUCUGUCAGCUCCUCCAAAAUUUAAAAACACAAACAAGAUAACUCCUACUUUAUUUUCCAACCAUCAAUUUUUUAUUCACCCAGCCUAAAAGUCCUGAUUAUCAGUUCUGGGUCCCUGGCAAUGACUGUUGGGUACAAACUGAGAAGCUGCGCUCUGAAGGUAGGGCUGGGCUUUUCACUGACCAUGUAGGUGGAUUAGUUGUGUGGGCAAAGUGUGUCAUCAUAGCCACUAUGUUUUCUGCACUUGGAGUAGACAGCACCUUGAUAGCUCAGUUGGUAGAGCAGAGGACUGUAGGCAGUUCCUCCUAUGAAGUGCUGUGGUUCCAAGGUCGCUGGUUCAACUCCCGCUCAAAGCAAGCCUUGUGUUCAUCUGUCAGCUCCUCCAAAAUUUAAAAACACAAACAAGAUAACUCCUACUUUAUUUUCCAACCAUCAAUUUUUUAUUCACCCAGCCUAAAAGUCCUGAUUAUCAGUUCUGGGUCCCUGGCAAUGACUGUUGGGUACAAACUGAGAAGCUGUGCUCUGAAGGUAGGGCUGGGCUUUUCACUGACCAUGUAGGUGGAUUAGUUGUGUGGGCAAAGUGUGUCAUCAUAGCCACUAUGUUUUCUGCACUUGGAGUAGACAGCACCUUGAUAGCUCAGUUGGUAGAGCAGAGGACUGUAGGCAGUUCCUCCUAUGAAGUGCUGUGGUUCCAAGGUCGCUGGUUCAACUCCCGCUCAAAGCAAGCCUUGUGUUCAUCUGUCAGCUCCUCCAAAAUUUAAAAACACAAACAAGAUAACUCCUACUUUAUUUUCCAACCGUCAAUUUUUUAUUCACCUAGCCUAAAAGUCCUGAUUAUCAGUUCUGGGUCCCUGGCAAUGACUGUUGGGUACAAACUGAGAAGCUGUGCUCUGAAGGUAGGGCUGGGCUUUUCACUGACCAUGUAGGUGGAUUAGUUGUGUGGGCAAAGUGUGUCAUCAUAGCCACUAUGUUUUCUGCACUUGGAGUAGACAGCACCUUGAUAGCUCAGUUGGUAGAGCAGAGGACUGUAGGCAGUUCCUCCUAUGAAAUGCUGUCGUUCCAAGGUCGCUGGUUCAACUCCCGCUCAAAGCAAGCCUUGUGUUCAUCUGUCAGCUCCUCCAAAAUUUAAAAACACAAACAAGAUAACUCCUACUUUAUUUUCCAACCAUCAAUUUUUUAUUCACCCAGCCUAAAAGUCCUGAUUAUCAGUUCUGGGUCCCUGGCAAUGACUGUUGGGUACAAACUGAGAAGCUGUGCUCUGAAGGUAGGGCUGGGCUUUUCACUGACCAUGUAGGUGGAUUAGUUGUGUGGGCAAAGUGUGUCAUCAUAGCCACUAUGUUUUCUGCACUUGGAGUAGACAGCACCUUGAUAGCUCAGUUGGUAGAGCAGAGGACUGUAGGCAGUUCCUCCUAUGAAGUGCUGUCGUUCCAGGGUCGCUUGUUCAACUCCCGCUCAAAGCAAGCCUUGUCUUCAUCUGUCAGCUCCUCCAAAAUUUAAAAACACAAACAAGAUAACUCCUACUUUAUUUUCCAACCAUCAAUUUUUUAUUCACCCAGCCUAAAAGUCCUGAUUAUCAGUUCUGGGUCCCUGGCAAUGACUGUUGGGUACAAACUGAGAAGCUGCGCUCUGAAGGUAGGGCUGGGCUUUUCACUGACCAUGUAGGUGGAUUAGUUGUGUGGGCAAAGUGUGUCAUCAUAGCCACUAUGUUUUCUGCACUUGGAGUAGACAGCACCUUGAUAGCUCAGUUGGUAGAGCAGAGGACUGUAGGCAGUUCCUCCUAUGAAGUGCUGUGGUUCCAGGGUCACUGGUUCAACUCCCGCUCAAAGCAAGCCUUGUGUUCAUCUGUCAGCUCCUCCAAAAUUUAAAAACACAAACAAGAUAACUCCUACUUUAUUUUCCAACCAUCAAUUUUUUAUUCACCCAGCCUAAAAGUCCUGAUUAUCAGUUCUGGGUCCCUGGCAAUGACUGUUGGGUACAAACUGAGAAGCUGCGCUCUGAAGGUAGGGCUGGGCUUUUCACUGACCAUGUAGGUGGAUUAGUUGUGUGGGCAAAGUGUGUCAUCAUAGCCACUAUGUUUUCUGCACUUGGACUAGACAGCACCUUGAUAGCUCAGUUGGUAGAGCAGAGGACUGUAGGCAGUUCCUCCUAUGAAGUGCUGUGGUUCCAAGGUCGCUGGUUCAACUCCCGCUCAAAGCAAGCCUUGUGUUCAUCUGUCAGCUCCUCCAAAAUUUAAAAACACAAACAAGAUAACUCCUACUUUAUUUUCCAACCGUCAAUUUUUUAUUCACCCAGCCUAAAAGUCCUGAUUAUCAGUUCUGGGUCCCUGGCAAUGACUGUUGGGUACAAACUGAGAAGCUGUGCUCUGAAGGUAGGGCUGGGCUUUUCACUGACCAUGUUGGUGGAUUAGUUGUGUGGGCAAAGUGUGUCAUCAUAGCCACUAUGUUUUCUGCACUUGGAGUAGACAGCACCUUGAUAGCUCAGUUGGUAGAGCACAGGACUGUAGGCAGUUCCUCCUAUGAAGUGCUGUCGUUCCAAGGUCCCUGGUUCAACUCCCGCUCAAAGCAAGCCUUGUGUUCAUCUGUCAGCUCCUCCAAAAUUUAAAAACACAAACAAGAUAACUCCUACUUUAUUUUCCAACCAUCAAUUUUUUAUUCACCCAGCCUAAAAGUCCUGAUUAUCAGUUCUGGGUCCCUGGCAAUGACUGUUGGGUACAAACUGAGAAGCUGCGCUCUGAAGGUAGGGCUGGGCUUUUCACUGACCAUGUAGGUGGAUUAGUUGUGUGGGCAAAGUGUGUCAUCAUAGCCACUAUGUUUUCUGCACUUGGAGUAGACAGCACCUUGAUAGCUCAGUUGGUAGAGCAGAGGACUGUAGGCAGUUCCUCCUAUGAAGUGCUGUGGUUCCAGGGUCACUGGUUCAACUCCCGCUCAAAGCAAGCCUUGUGUUCAUCUGUCAGCUCCUCCAAAAUUUAAAAACACAAACAAGAUAACUCCUACUUUAUUUUCCAACCAUCAAUUUUUUAUUCACCCAGCCUAAAAGUCCUGAUUAUCAGUUCUGGGUCCCUGGCAAUGACUGUUGGGUACAAACUGAGAAGCUGCGCUCUGAAGGUAGGGCUGGGCUUUUCACUGACCAUGUAGGUGGAUUAGUUGUGUGGGCAAAGUGUGUCAUCAUAGCCACUAUGUUUUCUGCACUUGGACUAGACAGCACCUUGAUAGCUCAGUUGGUAGAGCAGAGGACUGUAGGCAGUUCCUCCUAUGAAGUGCUGUGGUUCCAAGGUCGCUGGUUCAACUCCCGCUCAAAGCAAGCCUUGUGUUCAUCUGUCAGCUCCUCCAAAAUUUAAAAACACAAACAAGAUAACUCCUACUUUAUUUUCCAACCGUCAAUUUUUUAUUCACCCAGCCUAAAAGUCCUGAUUAUCAGUUCUGGGUCCCUGGCAAUGACUGUUGGGUACAAACUGAGAAGCUGUGCUCUGAAGGUAGGGCUGGGCUUUUCACUGACCAUGUUGGUGGAUUAGUUGUGUGGGCAAAGUGUGUCAUCAUAGCCACUAUGUUUUCUGCACUUGGAGUAGACAGCACCUUGAUAGCUCAGUUGGUAGAGCACAGGACUGUAGGCAGUUCCUCCUAUGAAGUGCUGUCGUUCCAAGGUCCCUGCUUCAACUCCCGCUCAAAGCAAGCCUUGUGUUCAUCUGUCAGCUCCUCCAAAAUUUAAAAACACAAACAAGAUAACUCCUACUUUAUUUUCCAACCAUCAAUUUUUUAUUCACCCAGCCUAAAAGUCCUGAUUAUCAGUUCUGGGUCCCUGGCAAUGACUGUUGGGUACAAACUGAGAAGCUGUGCUCUGAAGGUAGGGCUGGGCUUUUCACUGACCAUGUAGGUGGAUUAGUUGUGUGGGCAAAGUGUGUCAUCAUAGCCACUAUGUUUUCUGCACUUGGAGUAGACAGCACCUUGAUAGCUCAGUUGGUAGAGCAGAGGACUGUAGGCAGUUCCUCCUAUGAAGUGCUGUGGUUCCAGGGUCGCUGGUUCAACUCCCGCUCAAAGCAAGCCUUGUGUUCAUCUGUCAGCUCCUCCAAAAUUUAAAAACACAAACAAGAUAACUCCUACUUUAUUUUCCAACCAUCAAUUUUUUAUUCACCCAGCCUAAAAGUCCUGAUUAUCAGUUCUGGGUCCCUGGCAAUGACUGUUGGGUACAAACUGAGAAGCUGCGCUCUGAAGGUAGGGCUGGGCUUUUCACUGACCAUGUAGGUGGAUUAGUUGUGUGGGCAAAGUGUGUCAUCAUAGCCACUAUGUUUUCUGCACUUGGAGUAGACAGCACCUUGAUAGCUCAGUUGGUAGAACAGAGGACUCUAGGCAGUUCCUCCUAUGAAGUGCUGUGGUUCCAAGGUCGCUGGUUCAACUCCCGCUCAAAGCAAGCCUUGUCUUCAUCUGUCAGCUCCUCCAAAAUUUAAAAACACAAACAAGAUAACUCCUACUUUAUUUUCCAACCGUCAAUUUUUUAUUCACCCAGCCUAAAAGUCCUGAUUAUCAGUUCUGGGUCCCUGGCAAUGACUGUUGGGUACAAACUGAGAAGCUGUGCUCUGAAGGUAGGGCUGGGCUUUUCACUGACCAUGUAGGUGGAUUAGUUGUGUGGGCAAAGUGUGUCAUCAUAGCCACUAUGUUUUCUGCACUUGGAGUAGACAGCACCUUGAUAGCUCAGUUGGUAGAGCAGAGGACUGUAGGCAGUUCCUCCUAUGAAGUGCUGUGGUUCCAAGGUCGCUGGUUCAACUCCCGCUCAAAGCAAGCCUUGUCUUCAUCUUUCAGCUCCUCCAAAAUUUAAAAACACAAACAAGAUAACUCCUACUUUAUUUUCCAACCAUCAAUUUUUUAUUCACCCAGCCUAAAAGUCCUGAUUAUCAGUUCUGGGUCCCUGGCAAUGACUGUUGGGUACAAACUGAGAAGCUGCGCUCUGAAGGUAGGGCUGGGCUUUUCACUGACCAUGUAGGUGGAUUAGUUGUGUGGGCAAAGUGUGUCAUCAUAGCCACUAUGUUUUCUGCACUUGGAGUAGACAGCACCUUGAUAGCUCAGUUGGUAGAGCAGAGGACUGUAGGCAGUUCCUCCUAUGAAGUGCUGUCGUUCCAGGGUCGCUGGUUCAACUCCCGCUCAAAGCAAGCCUUGUGUUCAUCUGUCAGCUCCUCCAAAAUUUAAAAACACAAACAAGAUAACUCCUACUUUAUUUUCCAACCAUCAAUUUUUUAUUCACCCAGCCUAAAAGUCCUGAUUAUCAGUUCUGGGUCCCUGGCAAUGACUGUUGGGUACAAACUGAGAAGCUGCGCUCUGAAGGUAGGGCUGGGCUUUUCACUGACCAUGUAGGUGGAUUAGUUGUGUGGGCAAAGUGUGUCAUCAUAGCCACUAUGUUUUCUGCACUUGGAGUAGACAGCACCUUGAUAGCUCAGUUGGUAGAGCAGAGGACUGUAGGCAGUUCCUCCUAUGAAGUGCUGUGGUUCCAAGGUCGCUGGUUCAACUCCCGCUCAAAGCAAGCCUUGUGUUCAUCUGUCAGCUCCUCCAAAAUUUAAAAACACAAACAAGAUAACUCCUACUUUAUUUUCCAACCAUCAAUUUUUUAUUCACCCAGCCUAAAAGUCCUGAUUAUCAGUUCUGGGUCCCUGGCAAUGACUGUUGGGUACAAACUGAGAAGCUGUGCUCUGAAGGUAGGGCUGGGCUUUUCACUGACCAUGUUGGUGGAUUAGUUGUGUGGGCAAAGUGUGACAUCAUAGCCACUAUGUUUUCUGCACUUGGAGUAGACAGCACCUUGAUAGCUCAGUUGGUAGAGCACAGGACUGUAGGCAGUUCCUCCUAUGAAGUGCUGUGGUUCCAAGGUCGCUGGUUCAACUCCCGCUCAAAGCAAGCCUUGUCUUCAUCUGUCAGCUCCUCCAAAAUUUAAAAACACAAACAAGAUAACUCCUACUUUAUUUUCCAACCAUCAAUUUUUUAUUCACCCAGCCUAAAAGUCCUGAUUAUCAGUUCUGGGUCCCUGGCAAUGACUGUUGGGUACAAACUGAGAAGCUGUGCUCUGAAGGUAGGGCUGGGCUUUUCACUGACCAUGUUGGUGGAUUAGUUGUGUGGGCAAAGUGUGACAUCAUAGCCACUAUGUUUUCUGCACUUGGAGUAGACAGCACCUUGAUAGCUCAGUUGGUAGAGCACAGGACUGUAGGCAGUUCCUCCUAUGAAGUGCUGUGGUUCCAAGGUCGCUGGUUCAACUCCCGCUCAAAGCAAGCCUUGUCUUCAUCUGUCAGCUCCUCCAAAAUUUAAAAACACAAACAAGAUAACUCCUACUUUAUUUUCCAACCAUCAAUUUUUUAUUCACCCAGCCUAAAAGUCCUGAUUAUCAGUUCUGGGUCCCUGGCAAUGACUGUUGGGUACAAACUGAGAAGCUGUGCUCUGAAGGUAGGGCUGGGCUUUUCACUGACCAUGUAGGUGGAUUAGUUGUGUGGGCAAAGUGUGUCAUCAUAGCCACUAUGUUUUCUGCACUUGGAGUAGACAGCACCUUGAUAGCUCAGUUGGUAGAGCAGAGUAAUGUAGGCAGUUCCUCCUAUGAAGUGCUGUGGUUCCAAGGUCGCUGGUUCAACUCCCGCUCAAAGCAAGCCUUGUGUUCAUCUGUCAGCUCCUCCAAAAUUUAAAAACACAAACAAGAUAACUCCUACUUUAUUUUCCAACCAUCAAUUUUUUAUUCACCCAGCCUAAAAGUCCUGAUUAUCAGUUCUGGGUCUGGCAAUGACUGUUGGGUACAAACUGAGAAGCUGUGCUCUGAAGGUAGGGCUGGGCUUUUCACUGACCAUGUAGGUGGAUUAGUUGUGUGGGCAAAGUGUGUCAUCAUAGCCACUAUGUUUUCUGCACUUGGAGUAGACAGCACCUUGAUAGCUCAGUUGGUAGAGCAGAGGACUGUAGGCAGUUCCUCCUAUGAAGUGCUGUGGUUCCAAGGUCGCUGCUUCAAAUCCCGCUCAAAGCAAGCCUUGUCUUCAUCUUUCAGCUCCUCCAAAAUUUAAAAACACAAACAAGAUAACUCCUACUUUAUUUUCCAACCGUCAAUUUUUUAUUCACCCAGCCUAAAAGUCCUGAUUAUCAGUUCUGGGUCCCUGGCAAUGACUGUUGGGUACAAACUGAGAAGCUGUGCUCUGAAGGUAGGGCUGGGCUUUUCACUGACCAUGUAGGUGGAUUAGUUGUGUGGGCAAAGUGUGUCAUCAUAGCCACUAUGUUUUCUGCACUUGGAGUAGACAGCAUCUUGAUAGCUCAGUUGUUAGAGCAGAGGACUGUAGGCAGUUCCUCCUAUGAAGUGCUGUGGUUCCAAGGUCGCUGGUUCAACUCCCGCUCAAAGCAAGCCUUGUCUUCAUCUGUCAGCUCCUCCAAAAUUUAAAAACACAAACAAGAUAACUCCUACUUUAUUUUCCAACCGUCAAUUUUUUGUUCACCCAGCCUAAAAGUCCUGAUUAUCAGUUCUGGGUCCCUGGCAAUGACUGUUGGGUACAAACUGAGAAGCUGUGCUCUGAAGGUAGGGCUGGGCUUUUCACUGACCAUGUAGGUGGAUUCGUUGUGUGGGCAAAGUGUGUCAUCAUAGCCACUAUGUUUUCUGCACUUGGAGUAGACAGCACCUUGAUAGCUCAGUUGGUAGAGCAGAGGACUGUAGGCAGUUCCUCCUAUGAAGUGCUGUCGUUCCAAGGUCGCUGCUUCAACUCCCGCUCAAAGCAAGCCUUGUCUUCAUCUGUCAGCUCCUCAAAAAUUUAAAAACACAAACAAGAUAACUCCUACUUUAUUUUCCAACCGUCAAUUUUUUAUUCACCCAGCCUAAAAGUCCUGAUUAUCAGUUCUGGGUCCCUGGCAAUGACUGUUGGGUACAAACUGAGAAGCUGUGCUCUGAAGGUAGGGCUGGGCUUUUCACUGACCAUGUAGGUGGAUUAGUUGUGUGGGCAAAGUGUGUCAUCAUAGCCACUAUGUUUUCUGCACUUGGAGUAGACAGCACCUUGAUAGCUCAGUUGGUAGAGCAGAGGACUGUAGGCAGUUCCUCCUAUGAAGUGCUGUGGUUCCAAGGUCGCUGGUUCAACUCCCGCUCAAAGCAAGCCUUCUGUUCAUCUGUCAGCUCCUCCAAAAUUUAAAAACACAAACAAGAUAACUCCUACUUUAUUUUCCAACCAUCAAUUUUUUAUUCACCCAGCCUAAAAGUCCUGAUUAUCAGUUCUGGGUCCCUGGCAAUGACUGUUGGGUACAAACUGAGAAGCUGUGCUCUGAAGGUAGGGCUGGGCUUUUCACUGACCAUGUAGGUGGAUUAGUUGUGUGGGCAAAGUGUGUCAUCAUAGCCACUAUGUUUUCUGCACUUGGAGUAGACAGCACCUUGAUAGCUCAGUUGGUAGAGCAGAGGACUGUAGGCAGUUCCUCCUAUGAAGUGCUUUCGUUCCAAGGUCGCUGGUUCAACUCCUGCUCAAAGCACGCCUUGUCUUCAUCUGUCAGCUCCUCCAAAAUUUAAAAACACAAACAAGAUAACUCCUACUUUAUUUUCCAACCAUCAAUUUUUUAUUCACCCAGCCUAAAAGUCCUGAUUAUCAGUUCUGGGUCCCUGGCAAUGACUGUUGGGUACAAACUGAGAAGCUGCGCUCUGAAGGUAGGGCUGGGCUUUUCACUGACCAUGUAGGUGGAUUAGUUGUGUGGGCAAAGUGUGUCAUCAUAGCCACUAUGUUUUCUGCACUUGGAGUAGACAGCACCUUGAUAGCUCAGUUGGUAGAGCAGAGGACUGUAGGCAGUUCCUCCUAUGAAGUGCUGUGGUUCCAGGGUCGCUGGUUUAACUCCCGCUCAAAGCAAGCCUUGUGUUCAUCUGUCUGCUCCUCCAAAAUUUAAAAACACAAACAAGAUAACUCCUACUUUAUUUUCCAACCAUCAAUUUUUUAUUCACCCAGCCUAAAAGUCCUGAUUAUCAGUUCUGGGUCCCUGGCAAUGACUGUUGGGUACAAACUGAGAAGCUGUGCUCUGAAGGUAGGGCUGGGCUUUUCACUGACCAUGUAGGUGGAUUAGUUGUGUGGGCAAAGUGUGUCAUCAUAGCCACUAUGUUUUCUGGACUUGCAGUGCACAGCACCUUGAUAGCUCAGUUGGUAGAGCAGAGGACUGUAGGCAGUUCCUCCUAUGAAGUGCUGUGGUUCCAAGGUCGCUGGUUCAACUCCCGCUCAAAGCAAGCCUUGUCUUCAUCUGUCAGCUCCUCCAAAAUUUAAAAACACAAACAAGAUAACUCCUACUUUAUUUUCCAACCGUCAAUUUUUUAUUCACCCAGCCUAAAAGUCCUGAUUAUCAGUUCUGGGUCCCUGGCAAUGACUGUUGGGUACAAACUGAGAAGCUGCGCUCUGAAGGUAGGGCUGGGCUUUUCACUGACCAUGUAGGUGGAUUAGUUGUGUGGGCAAAGUGUGUCAUCAUAGCCACUAUGUUUUCUGCACUUGGAGUAGACAGCACCUUGAUAGCUCAGUUGGUAGAGCAGAGGACUGUAGGCAGUUCUUCCUAUGAAGUGCUGUCGUUCCAGGGUCGCUGGUUCAACUCCCGCUCAAAGCAAGCCUUGUGUUCAUCUGUCAGCUCCUCCAAAAUUUAAAAACACAAACAAGAUAACUCCUACUUUAUUUUCCAACCAUCAAUUUUUUAUUCACCCAGCCUAAAAGUCCUGAUUAUCAGUUCUGGGUCCCUGGCAAUGACUGUUGGGUACAAACUGAGAAGCUGUGCUCUGAAGGUAGGGCUGGGCUUUUCACUGACCAUGUAGGUGGAUUAGUUGUGUGGGCAAAGUGUGUCAUCAUAGCCACUAUGUUUUCUGCACUUGGAGUAGACAGCACCUUGAUAGCUCAGUUGGUAGAGCAGAGGACUGUAGGCAGUUCCUCCUAUGAAGUGCUGUGGUUCCAAGGUCGCUGGUUCAACUCCCGCUCAAAGCAAGCCUUGUGUUCAUCUGUCAGCUCCUCCAAAAUUUAAAAACACAAACAAGAUAACUCCUACUUUAUUUUCCAACCGUCAAUUUUUAAUUCACCCAGCCUAAAAGUCCUGAUUAUCAGUUCUGGGUCCCUGGCAAUGACUGUUGGGUACAAACUGAGAAGCUGUGCUCUGAAGGUAGGGCUGGGCUUUUCACUGACCAUGUAGGUGGAUUAGUUGUGUGGGCAAAGUGUGUCAUCAUAGCCACUAUGUUUUCUGCACUUGGAGUAGACAACACCUUGAUAGCUCAGUUGGUAGAGCAGAGGACUGUAGGCAGUUCCUCCUAUGAAGUGCUGUCGUUCCAAGGUCGCUGGUUCAACUCCCGCUCAAAGCAAGCCUUGACUUCAUCUGUCAGCUCCUCCAAAAUUUAAAAACACAAACAAGAUAACUCCUACUUUAUUUUCCAACCAUCAAUUUUUUAUUCACCCAGCCUAAAAGUCCUGAUUAUCAGUUCUGGGUCCCUGGCAAUGACUGUUGGGUACAAACUGAGAAGCUGCGCUCUGAAGGUAGGGCUGGGCUUUUCACUGACCAUGUAGGUGGAUUAGUUGUGUGGGCAAAGUGUGUCAUCAUAGCCACUAUGUUUUCUGCACUUGGAGUAGACAGCACCUUGAUAGCUCAGUUGGUAGAGCAGAGGACUGUAGGCAGUUCCUCCUAUGAAGUGCUGUCGUUCCAAGGUCGCUGGUUCAACUCCUGCUCAAAGCAAGCCUUGUCUUCAUCUGUCAGCUCCUCCAAAAUUUAAAAACACAAACAAGAUAACUCCUACUUUAUUUUCCAACCAUCAAUUUUUUAUUCACCCAGCCUAAAAGUCCUGAUUAUCAGUUCUGGGUCCCUGGCAAUGACUGUUGGGUACAAACUGAGAAGCUGCGCUCUGAAGGUAGGGCUGGGCUUUUCACUGACCAUGUAGGUGGAUUAGUUGUGUGGGCAAAGUGUGUCAUCAUAGCCACUAUGUUUUCUGCACUUGGAGCAGACAGCACCUUGAUAGCUCAGUUGGUAGAAAAGAGGACUGUAGGCAGUUCCUCCUAUGAAGUGCUGUGGUUCCAGGGUCGCUCGUUCAACUCCCGCUCAAAGCAAGCCUUGUGUUCAUCUGUCAGCUCCUCCAAAAUUUAAAAACACAAACAAGAUAACUCCUACUUUAUUUUCCAACCAUCAAUUUUUUAUUCACCCAGCCUAAAAGUCCUGAUUAUCAGUUCUGGGUCUGGCAAUGACUGUUGGGUACAAACUGAGAAGCUGUGCUCUGAAGGUAGGGCUGGGCUUUUCACUGACCAUGUAGGUGGAUUAGUUGUGUGGGCAAAGUGUGUCAUCAUAGCCACUAUGUUUUCUGCACUUGGAGUAGACAGCACCUUGAUAGCUCAGUUGGUAGAGCAGAGGACUGUAGGCAGUUCCUCCUAUGAAGUGCUGUGCUUCCAAGGUCGCUGGUUCAACUCCCGCUCAAAGCAAGCCUUGUCUUCAUCUGUCAGCUCCUCCAAAAUUUAAAAACACAAACAAGAUAACUCCUACUUUAUUUUCCAACCAUCAAUUUUUUAUUCACCCAGCCUAAAAGUCCUGAUUAUCAGUUCUGGGUCCCUGGCAAUGACUGUUGGGUACAAACUGAGAAGCUGUGCUCUGAAGGUAGGGCUGGCCUUUUCACUGACCAUGUCGGUGGAUUAGUUGUGUGGGCAAAGUGUGUCAUCAUAGCCACUAUGUUUUCUGCACUUGGAGUAGACAGCACCCUGAUAGCUCAGUUGGUAGAACAGAGGACUCUAGGCAGUUCCUCCUAUGAAGUGUUGUGGUUCCAAGGUCGCUGGUUCAACUCCCGCUCAAAGCAAGCCUUGUCUUCAUCUGUCAGCUCCUCCAAAAUUAAAAAACACAAACAAGAUAACUCCUACUUUAUUUUCCAACCGUCAAUUUUUCAUUCACCCAGCCUAAAAGUCCUGAUUAUCAGUUCUGGGUCCCUGGCAAUGACUGUUGGGUACAAACUGAGAAGCUGUGCUCUGAAGGUAGGGCUGGGCUUUUCACUGACCAUGUAGGUGGAUUAGUUGUGUGGGCAAAGUGUGUCAUCAUAGCCACUAUGUUUUCUGCACUUGGAGUAGACAGCACCUUGAUAGCUCAGUUGGUAGAGCAGAGGACUGUAGGCAGUUCCUCCUAUGAAGUGCUGUGCUUCCAACGUCGCUGGUUCAACUCCCGCUCAAAGCAAGCCUUGUCUUCAUCUGUCAGCUCCUCCAAAAUUUAAAAACACAAACAAGAUAACUCCUACUUUAUUUUCCAACCGUCAAUUUUUUGUUCACCCAGCCUAAAAGUCCUGAUUAUCAGUUCUGGGUCCCUGGCAAUGACUGUUGGGUACAAACUGAGAAGCUGUGCUCUGAAGGUAGGGCUGGGCUUUUCACUGACCAUGUAGGUGGAUUAGUUGUGUGGGCAAAGUGUGUCAUCAUAGCCACUAUGUUUUCUGCACUUGGAGUAGACAGCACCUUGAUAGCUCAGUUGGUAGAGCAGACGACUGUAGGCAGUUCCUCCUAUGAAGUGCUGUCGUUCCAGUGUCGCUGGUUCAACUCCCGCUCAAAGCAAGCCUUGUCUUCAUCUGUCAGCUCCUCCAAAAUUUAAAAACACAAACAAGAUAACUCCUACUUUAUUUUCCAACCAUCAAUUUUUUAUUCACCCAGCCUAAAAGUCCUGAUUAUCAGUUCUGGGUCCCUGGCAAUGACUGUUGGGUACAAACUGAGAAGCUGUGCUCUGAAGGUAGGGCUGGGCUUUUCACUGACCAUGUAGGUGGAUUAGUUGUGUGGGCAAAGUGUGUCAUCAUAGCCACUAUGUUUUCUGCACUUGGAGUAGACAGCACCUUGAUAGCUCAGUUGGUAGAGCAGAGGACUGUAGGCAGUUCCUCCUAUGAAGUGCUGUCGUUCCAAGGUCGCUGGUUCAAAUCCCGCUCAAAGCAAGCCUUGUCUUCAUCUGUCAGCUCCUCCAAAAUUUAAAAACACAAACAAGAUAACUCCUACUUUAUUUUCCAACCAUCAAUUUUUUAUUCACCCAGCCUAAAAGUCCUGAUUAUCAGUUCUGGGUCCCUGGCAAUGACUGUUGGGUACAAACUGAGAAGCUGUGCUCUGAAGGUAGGGCUGGGCUUUUCACUGACCAUGUAGGUGGAUUAGUUGUGUGGGCAAAGUGUGUCAUCAUAGCCACUAUGUUUUCUGCACUUGGAGUAGACAGCACCUUGAUAGCUCAGUUGGUAGAGCAGAGGACUGUAGGCAGUUCCUCCUAUGAAGUGCUGUGGUUCCAAGGUCGCUGUUUCAAAUCCCGCUCAAAGCAAGCCUUGUCUUCAUCUGUCAGCUCCUCCAAAAUUUAAAAACACAAACAAGAUAACUCCUACUUUAUUUUCCAACCGUCAAUUUUUUAUUCACCCAGCCUAAAAGUCCUGAUUAUCAGUUCUGGGUCCCUGGCAAUGACUGUUGGGUACAAACUGAGAAGCUGUGCUCUGAAGGUAGGGCUGGGCUUUUCACUGACCAUGUAGGUGGAUUAGUUGUGUGGGCAAAGUGUGUCAUCAUAGCCACUAUGUUUUCUGCACUUGGAGUAAACAGCACCUUGAUAGCUCAGUUGUUAGAGCAGAGGACUGUAGGCAGUUCCUCCUAUGAAGUGCUCUCGUUCCAAGGUCGCUGGUUCAACUCCCGCUCAAAGCAAGCCUUGUGUUCAUCUGUCAGCUCCUCCAAAAUUUAAAAACACAAACAAGAUAACUCCUACUUUAUUUUCCAACCGUCAAUUUUUUGUUCACCCAGCCUAAAAGUCCUGAUUAUCAGUUCUGGGUCCCUGGCAAUGACUGUUGGGUACAAACUGAGAAGCUGUGCUCUGAAGGUAGGGCUGGGCUUAUCACUGACCAUGUAGGUGGAUUAGUUGUGUGGGCAAAGUGUGUCAUCAUAGCCACUAUGUUUUCUGCACUUGGAGUAGACAGCACCUUGAUAGCUCAGUUGGUAGAGCAGAGGACUGUAGGCAGUUCCUCCUAUGAAGUGCUGUCGUUCCAAGGUCGCUGCUUCAACUCCCGCUCAAAGCAAGCCUUGUCUUCAUCCUGUCAGCUCCUCAAAAAUUUAAAAACACAAACAAGAUAACUCCUACUUUAUUUUCCAACCGUCAAUUUUUUAUUCACCCAGCCUAAAAGUCCUGAUUAUCAGUUCUGGGUCCCUGGCAAUGACUGUUGGGUACAAACUGAGAAGCUGUGCUCUGAAGGUAGGGCUGGGCUUUUCACUGACCAUGUAGGUGGAUUAGUUGUGUGGGCAAAGUGUGUCAUCAUAGCCACUAUGUUUUCUGCACUUGGAGUAGACAGCACCUUGAUAGCUCAGUUGGUAGAGCAGAGGACUGUAGGCAGUUCCUCCUAUGAAGUGCUGUCGUUCCAAGGUCGCUGGUUCAACUCCCGCUCAAAGCAAGCCUUGUGUUCAUCUGUCAGCUCCUCCAAAAUUUAAAAACACAAACAAGAUAACUCCUACUUUAUUUUCCAACCGUCAAUUUUUUAUUCACCCAGCCUAAAAGUCCUGAUUAUCAGUUCUGGGUCCCUGGCAAUGACUGUUGGGUACAAACUGAGAAGCUGCGCUCUGAAGGUAGGGCUGGGCUUUUCACUGACCAUGUAGGUGGAUUAGUUGUGUGGGCAAAGUGUGUCAUCAUAGCCACUAUGUUUUCUGCACUUGGAGUAGACAGCAUCUUGAUAGCUCAGUUGGUAGAGCAGAGGACUGUAGGCAGUUCCUCCUAUGAAGUGCUGUGGUUCCAAGGUCGCUGGUUCAACUCCCACUCAAAGCAAGCCUUGUCUUCAUCUGUCAGCUCCUCCAAAAUUUAAAAACACAAACAAGAUAACUCCUACUUUAUUUUCCAACCAUCAAUUUUUUAUUCACCCAGCCUAAAAGUCCUGAUUAUCAGUUCUGGGUCCCUGGCAAUGACUGUUGGGUACAAACUGAGAAGCUGUGCUCUGAAGGUAGGGCUGGGCUUUUCACUGACCAUGUAGGUGGAUUAGUUGUGUGGGCAAAGUGUGUCAUCAUAGCCACUAUGUUUUCUGCACUUGGAGUAGACAGCACCUUGAUAGCUCAGUUGUUAGAGCAGAGGACUGUAGGCAGUUCCUCCUAUGAAGUGCUCUCGUUCCAAGGUCGCUGGUUCAACUCCCGCUCAAAGCAAGCCUUGUCUUCAUCUGUCAGCUCCUCCAAAAUUUAAAAACACAAACAAGAUAACUCCUACUUUAUUUUCCAACCGUCAAUUUUUGUUCACCCAGCCUAAAAGUCCUGAUUAUCAGUUCUGGGUCCCUGGCAAUGACUGUUGGGUACAAACUGAGAAGCUGUGCUCUGAAGGUAGGGCUGGGCUUUUCACUGACCAUGUAGGUGGAUUAGUUGUGUGGGCAAAGUGUGUCAUCAUAGCCACUAUGUUUUCUGCACUUGGAGUAGACAGCACCUUGAUAGCUCAGUUGGUAGAGCACAGGACUGUAGGCAGUUCCUCCUAUGAAGUGCUGUGGUUCCAAGGUCGCUGGUUCAACUCCCGCUCAAAGCAAGCCUUGUGUUCAUCUGUCAGCUCCUCCAAAAUUUAAAAACACAAACAAGAUAACUCCUACUUUAUUUUCCAACCAUCAAUUUUUUAUUCACCCAGCCUAAAAGUCCUGAUUAUCAGUUCUGGGUCCCUGGCAAUGACUGUUGGGUACAAACUGAGAAGCUGUGCUCUGAAGGUAGGGCUGGGCUUUUCACUGACCAUGUAGGUGGAUUAGUUGUGUGGGCAAAGUGUGUCAUCAUAGCCACUAUGUUUUCUGCACUUGGAGUAGACAGCACCUUGAUAGCUCAGUUGGUAGAGCAGAGUAAUGUAGGCAGUUCCUCCUAUGAAGUGCUGUGGUUCCAAGGUCGCUGGUUCAACUCCCGCUCAAAGCAAGCCUUGUGUUCAUCUGUCAGCUCCUCCAAAAUUUAAAAACACAAACAAGAUAACUCCUACUUUAUUUUCCAACCAUCAAUUUUUUAUUCACCCAGCCUAAAAGUCCUGAUUAUCAGUUCUGGGUCUGGCAAUGACUGUUGGGUACAAACUGAGAAGCUGUGCUCUGAAGGUAGGGCUGGGCUUUUCACUGACCAUGUAGGUGGAUUAGUUGUGUGGGCAAAGUGUGUCAUCAUAGCCACUAUGUUUUCUGCACUUGGAGUAGACAGCACCUUGAUAGCUCAGUUGGUAGAGCAGAGGACUGUAGGCAGUUCCUCCUAUGAAGUGCUGUGGUUCCAAGGUCGCUGGUUCAACUCCCGCUCAAAGCAAGCCUUGUCUUCAUCUGUCAGCUCCUCCAAAAUUUAAAAACACAAACAAGAUAACUCCUACUUUAUUUUCCAACCAUCAAUUUUUUAUUCACCCAGCCUAAAAGUCCUGAUUAUCAGUUCUGGGUCCCUGGCAAUGACUGUUGGGUACAAACUGAGAAGCUGUGCUCUGAAGGUAGGGCUGGGCUUUUCACUGACCAUGUAGGUGGAUUAGUUGUGUGGGCAAAGUGUGUCAUCAUAGCCACUAUGUUUUCUGCACUUGGAGUAGACAGCACCCUCAUAGCUCAGUUGGUAGAACAGAGGACUCUAGGCAGUUCCUCCUAUGAAGUGCUGUGGUUCCAAGGUCGCUGGUUCAACUCCCGCUCAAAGCAAGCCUUGUCUUCAUCUGUCAGCUCCUCCAAAAUUUAAAAACACAAACAAGAUAACUCCUACUUUAUUUUCCAACCGUCAAUUUUUUAUUCACCCAGCCUAAAAGUCCUGAUUAUCAGUUCUGGGUCCCUGGCAAUGACUGUUGGGUACAAACUGAGAAGCUGUGCUCUGAAGGUAGGGCUGGGCUUUUCACUGACCAUGUAGGUGGAUUAGUUGUGUGGGCAAAGUGUGUCAUCAUAGCCACUAUGUUUUCUGCAAUUGGAGUAGACAGCACCUUGAUAGCUCAGUUGGUAGAGCAGAGGACUGUAGGCAGUUCCUCCUAUGAAGUGCUGUCGUUCCAGGGUCGCUGGUUCAACUCCCGCUCAAAGCAAGCCUUGUCUUCAUCUGUCAGCUCCUCCAAAAUUUAAAAACACAAACAAGAUAACUCCUACUUUAUUUUCCAACCAUCAAUUUUUUAUUCACCCAGCCUAAAAGUCCUGAUUAUCAGUUCUGGGUCCCUGGCAAUGACUGUUGGGUACAAACUGAGAAGCUGCGCUCUGAAGGUAGGGCUGGGCUUUUCACUGACCAUGUAGGUGGAUUAGUUGUGUGGGCAAAGUGUGUCAUCAUAGCCACUAUGUUUUCUGCACUUGGAGUAGACAGCAUCUUGAUAGCUCAGUUGGUAGAGCAGAGGACUGUAGGCAGUUCCUCCUAUGAAGUGCUGUGGUUCCAAGGUCGCUGGUUCAACUCCCACUCAAAGCAAGCCUUGUCUUCAUCUGUCAGCUCCUCCAAAAUUUAAAAACACAAACAAGAUAACUCCUACUUUAUUUUCCAACCGUCAAUUUUUUAUUCACCCAGCCUAAAAGUCCUGAUUAUCAGUUCUGGGUCCCUGGCAAUGACUGUUGGGUACAAACUGAGAAGCUGUGCUCUGAAGGUAGGGCUGGGCUUUUCACUGACCAUGUAGGUGGAUUAGUUGUGUGGGCAAAGUGUGUCAUCAUAGCCACUAUGUUUUCUGCACUUGGAGUAGACAGCACCUUGAUAGCUCAUUUAUUAGAGCAGAGGACUGUAGGCAGUUCCUCCUAUGAAGUGCUGUCGUUCCAAGGUCGCUGGUUCAACUCCCGCUCAAAGCAAGCCUUGUCUUCAUCUGUCAGCUCCUCCAAAAUUUAAAAACACAAACAAGAUAACUCCUACUUUAUUUUCCAACCAUCAAUUUUUUGUUCACCCAGCCUAAAAGUCCUGAUUAUCAGUUCUGGGUCCCUGGCAAUGACUGUUGGGUACAAACUGAGAAGCUGUGCUCUGAAGGUAGGGCUGGGCUUUUCACUGACCAUGUAGGUGGAUUAGUUGUGUGGGCAAAGUGUGUCAUCAUAGCCACUAUGUUUUCUGCACUUGGAGUAGACAGCACCUUGAUAGCUCAGUUGGUAGAGCACAGGACUGUAGGCAGUUCCUCCUAUGAAGUGCUGUCGUUCCAAGGUCGCUGGUUCAACUCCCGCUCAAAGCAAGCCUUGUGUUCAUCUGUCAGCUCCUCCAAAAUUUAAAAACACAAACAAGAUAACUCCUACUUUAUUUUCCAACCAUCAAUUUUUUAUUCACCCAGCCUAAAAGUCCUGAUUAUCAGUUCUGGGUCCCUGGCAAUGACUGUUGGGUACAAACUGAGAAGCUGUGCUCUGAAGGUAGGGCUGGGCUUUUCACUGACCAUGUAGGUGGAUUAGUUGUGUGGGCAAAGUGUGUCAUCAUAGCCACUAUGUUUUCUGCACUUGGAGUAGACAGCACCUUGAUAGCUCAGUUGUUAGAGCAGAGUAAUGUAGGCAGUUCCUCCUAUGAAGUGCUGUGGUUCCAAGGUCGCUGGUUCAACUCCCGCUCAAAGCAAGCCUUGUGUUCAUCUGUCAGCUCCUCCAAAAUUUAAAAACACAAACAAGAUAACUCCUACUUUAUUUUCCAACCAUCAAUUUUUUAUUCACCCAGCCUAAAAGUCCUGAUUAUCAGUUCUGGGUCUGGCAAUGACUGUUGGGUACAAACUGAGAAGCUGUGCUCUGAAGGUAGGGCUGGGCUUUUCACUGACCAUGUAGGUGGAUUAGUUGUGUGGGCAAAGUGUGUCAUCAUAGCCACUAUGUUUUCUGCACUUGGAGUAGACAGCACCUUGAUAGCUCAGUUGGUAGAGCAGAGGACUGUAGGCAGUUCCUCCUAUGAAGUGCUGUGCUUCCAAGGUCGCUGGUUCAACUCCCGCUCAAAGCAAGCCUUGUCUUCAUCUGUCAGCUCCUCCAAAAUUUAAAAACACAAACAAGAUAACUCCUACUUUAUUUUUUAACCGUCAAUUUUUUAUUCACCCAGCCUAAAAGUCCUGAUUAUCAGUUCUGGGUCCCUGGCAAUGACUGUUGGGUACAAACUGAGAAGCUGUGCUCUUAAGAUAGGGCUGGGCUUUUCAAUGACCAUGUCGGUGGAUUAGUUGUGUGGGCAAAGUGUGUCAUCAUAGCCACUAUGUUUUCUGCACUUGGAGUAGACAGCACCUUGAUAGCUCAGUUGGUAGAGCACAGGACUGUAGGCAGUUCCUCCUAUGAAGUGCUGUGGUUCCAAGGUCGCUGUUUCAAAUCCCGCUCAAAGCAAGCAUUGUCUUCAUCUGUCAGCUCCUCCAAAAUUUAAAAACACAAACAAGAUAACUCCUACUUUAUUUUCCAACCGUCAAUUUUUUAUUCACCCAGCCUAAAAGUCCUGAUUAUCAGUUCUGGGUCCCUGGCAAUGACUGUUGGGUACAAACUGAGAAGCUGUGCUCUGAAGGUAGGGCUGGGCUUUUCACUGACCAUGUAGGUGGAUUAGUUGUGUGGGCAAAGUUUGUCAUCAUAGCCACUAUGUUUUCUGCACUUGGAGUAGACAGCACCUUGAUAGCUCAGUUGGUAGAACAGAGAACUCUAGGCAGUUCCUCCUAUGAAGUGCUGUGGUUCCAAGGUCGCUGGUUCAACUCCCGCUCAAAGCAAGCCUUGUCUUCAUCUGUCAGCUCCUCCAAAAUUUAAAAACACAAACAAGAUAACUCCUACUUUAUUUUCCAACCGUCAAUUUUUCAUUCACCCAGCCUAAAAGUCCUGAUUAUCAGUUCUGGGUCCCUGGCAAUGACUGUUGGGUACAAACUGAGAAGCUGUGCUCUGAAGGUAGGGCUGGGCUUUUCACUGACCAUGUAGGUGGAUUAGUUGUGUGGGCAAAGUGUGUCAUCAUAGCCACUAUGUUUUCUGCACUUGGAGUAGACAGCACCUUGAUACCUCAGUUGGUAGAGCAGAGGACUGUAGGCAGUUCCUCCUAUGAAGUGCUGUGUUCCAACGUCGCUGGUUCAACUCCCGCUCAAAGCAAGCCUUGUCUUCAUCUGUCAGCUCCUCCAAAAUUUAAAAACACAAACAAGAUAACUCCUACUUUAUUUUCCAACCAUCAAUUUUUUAUUCACCCAGCCUAAAAGUCCUGAUUAUCAGUUCUGGGUCCCUGGCAAUGACUGUUGGGUACAAACUGAGAAGCUGUGCUCUGAAGGUAGGGCUGGGCUUUUCACUGACCAUGUAGGUGGAUUAGUUGUGUGGGCAAAGUGUGUCAUCAUAGCCACUAUGUUUUCUGCACUUGGAGUAGACAGCACCUUGAUAGCUCAGUUGGUAGAGCAGAGGACUGUAGGCAGUUCCUCCUAUGAAGUGCUGUGGUUCCAAGGUCGCUGGUUCAACUCCCGCUCAAAGCAAGCCUUGUGUUCAUCUGUCAGCUCCUCCAAAAUUUAAAAACACAAACAAGAUAACUCCUACUUUAUUUUCCAACCGUCAAUUUUUUAUUCACCCAGCCUAAAAGUCCUGAUUAUCAGUUCUGGGUCCCUGGCAAUGACUGUUGGGUACAAACUGAGAAGCUGCGCUCUGAAGGUAGGGCUGGGCUUUUCACUGACCAUGUAGGUGGAUUAGUUGUGUGGGCAAAGUGUGUCAUCAUAGCCACUAUGUUUUCUGCACUUGGAGUAGACAGCACCUUGAUAGCUCAGUUGGUAGAGCAGAGGACUGUAGGCAGUUCCUCCUAUGAAGUGCUGUGGUUCCAAGGUCGCUGGUUCAACUCCCGCUCAAAGCAAGCCUUGUGUUCAUCUGUCAGCUCCUCCAAAAUUUAAAAACACAAACAAGAUAACUCCUACUUUAUUUUCCAACCGUCAAUUUUUUAUUCACCCAGCCUAAAAGUCCUGAUUAUCAGUUCUGGGUCCCUGGCAAUGACUGUUGGGUACAAACUGAGAAGCUGUGCUCUGAAGGUAGGUCUGGGCUUUUCACUGACCAUGUAGGUGGAUUAGUUGUGUGGGCAAAGUGUGUCAUCAUAGCCACUAUGUUUUCUGCACUUGGAGUAGACAGCACCUUGAUAGCUCAGUUGGUAGAGCAGAGGACUGUAGGCAGUUCCUCCUAUGAAGUGCUGUGGUUCCAAGGUCGCUGGUUCAACUCCCGCUCAAAGCAAGCCUUGUCUUCAUCUGUCAGCUCCUCCAAAAUUUAAAAACACAAACAAGAUAACUCCUACUUUAUUUUCCAACCAUCAAUUUUUUAUUCACCCAGCCUAAAAGUCCUGAUUAUCAGUUCUGGGUCCCUGGCAAUGACUGUUGGGUACAAACUGAGAAGCUGUGCUCUGAAGGUAGGGCUGGGCUUUUCACUGACCAUGUAGGUGGAUUAGUUGUGUGGGCAAAGUGUGUCAUCAUAGCCACUAUGUUUUCUGCACUUGGAGUAGACAGCACCCUCAUAGCUCAGUUGGUAGAACAGAGGACUCUAGGCAGUUCCUCCUAUGAAGUGCUGUGGUUCCAAGGUCGCUGGUUCAACUCCCGCUCAAAGCAAGCCUUGUCUUCAUCUGUCAGCUCCUCCAAAAUUUAAAAACACAAACAAGAUAACUCCUACUUUAUUUUCCAACCGUCAAUUUUUUAUUCACCCAGCCUAAAAGUCCUGAUUAUCAGUUCUGGGUCCCUGGCAAUGACUGUUGGGUACAAACUGAGAAGCUGUGCUCUGAAGGUAGGGCUGGGCUUUUCACUGACCAUGUAGGUGGAUUAGUUGUGUGGGCAAAGUGUGUCAUCAUAGCCACUAUGUUUUCUGCACUUGGAGUAGACAGCACCUUGAUAGCUCAGUUGGUAGAGCAGAGGACUGUAGGCAGUUCCUCCUAUGAAGUGCUGUCGUUCCAGGGUCGCUGGUUCAACUCCCGCUCAAAGCAAGCCUUGUCUUCAUCUGUCAGCUCCUCCAAAAUUUAAAAACACAAACAAGAUAACUCCUACUUUAUUUUCCAACCAUCAAUUUUUUAUUCACCCAGCCUAAAAGUCCUGAUUAUCAGUUCUGGGUCCCUGGCAAUGACUGUUGGGUACAAACUGAGAAGCUGUGCUCUGAAGGUAGGGCUGGGCUUUUCACUGACCAUGUAGGUGGAUUAGUUGUGUGGGCAAAGUGUGUCAUCAUAGCCACUAUGUUUUCUGCACUUGGAGUAGACAGCAUCUUGAUAGCUCAGUUGGUAGAGCAGAGGACUGUAGGCAGUUCCUCCUAUGAAGUGCUGUGGUUCCAAGGUCGCUGGUUCAACUCCCGCUCAAAGCAAGCCUUGUCUUCAUCUGUCAGCUCCUCCAAAAUUUAAAAACACAAACAAGAUAACUCCUACUUUAUUUUCCAACCGUCAAUUUUUUAUUCACCCAGCCUAAAAGUCCUGAUUAUCAGUUCUGGGUCCCUGGCAAUGACUGUUGGGUACAAACUGAGAAGCUGUGCUCUGAAGGUAGGGCUGGGCUUUUCACUGACCAUGUAGGUGGAUUAGUUGUGUGGGCAAAGUGUGUCAUCAUAGCCACUAUGUUUUCUGCACUUGGAGUAGACAGCACCUUGAUAGCUCAGUUGGUAGAGCAGAGGACUGUAGGCAGUUCCUCCUAUGAAGUGCUGUCGUUCCAAGGUCGCUGGUUCAACUCCCGCUCAAAGCAAGCCUUGUCUUCAUCUGUCAGCUCCUCCAAAAUUUAAAAACACAAACAAGAUAACUCCUACUUUAUUUUCCAACCAUCAAUUUUUUAUUCACCCAGCCUAAAAGUCCUGAUUAUCAGUUCUGGGUCCCUGGCAAUGACUGUUGGGUACAAACUGAGAAGCUGUGCUCUGAAGGUAGGGCUGGGCUUUUCACUGACCAUGUAGGUGGAUUAGUUGUGUGGGCAAAGUGUGUCAUCAUAGCCACUAUGUUUUCUGCACUUGGAGUAGACAGCACCUUGAUAGCUCAGUUGGUAGAGCAGAGGACUGUAGGCAGUUCCUCCUAUGAAGUGCUGUCGUUCCAAGGUCGCUGGUUCAACUCCCGCUCAAAGCAAGCCUUGUGUUCAUCUGUCAGCUCCUCCAAAAUUUAAAAACACAAACAAGAUAACUCCUACUUUAUUUUCCAACCAUCAAUUUUUUAUUCACCCAGCCUAAAAGUCCUGAUUAUCAGUUCUGGGUCCCUGGCAAUGACUGUUGGGUACAAACUGAGAAGCUGUGCUCUGAAGGUAGGGCUGGGCUUUUCACUGACCAUGUAGGUGGAUUAGUUGUGUGGGCAAAGUGUGUCAUCAUAGCCACUAUGUUUUCUGCACUUGGAGUAGACAGCACCUUGAUAGCUCAGUUGGUAGAGCAGAGGACUGUAGGCAGUUCCUCCUAUGAAGUGCUGUGGUUCCAAGGUCGCUGGUUCAACUCCCGCUCAAAGCAAGCCUUGUGUUCAUCUGUCAGCUCCUCCAAAAUUUAAAAACACAAACAAGAUAACUCCUACUUUAUUUUCCAACCAUCAAUUUUUUAUUCACCCAGCCUAAAAGUCCUGAUUAUCAGUUCUGGGUCCCUGGCAAUGACUGUUGGGUACAAACUGAGAAGCUGUGCUCUGAAGGUAGGGCUGGGCUUUUCACUGACCAUGUAGGUGGAUUAGUUGUGUGGGCAAAGUGUGUCAUCAUAGCCACUAUGUUUUCUGCACUUGGAGUAGACAGCACCUUGAUAGCUCAGUUGGUAGAGCAGAGGACUGUAGGCAGUUCCUCCUAUGAAGUGCUGUCGUUCCAAGGUCGCUGGUUCAACUCCCGCUCAAAGCAAGCCUUGUCUUCAUCUGUCAGCUCCUCCAAAAUUUAAAAACACAAACAAGAUAACUCCUACUUUAUUUUCCAACCAUCAAUUUUUUAUUCACCCAGCCUAAAAGUCCUGAUUAUCAGUUCUGGGUCCCUGGCAAUGACUGUUGGGUACAAACUGAGAAGCUGUGCUCUGAAGGUAGGGCUGGGCUUUUCACUGACCAUGUAGGUGGAUUAGUUGUGUGGGCAAAGUGUGUCAUCAUAGCCACUAUGUUUUCUGCACUUGGAGUAGACAGCACCUUGAUAGCUCAGUUGGUAGAGCAGAGGACUGUAGGCAGUUCCUCCUAUGAAGUGCUGUCGUUCCAAGGUCGCUGGUUCAACUCCCGCUCAAAGCAAGCCUUGUCUUCAUCUGUCAGCUCCUCCAAAAUUUAAAAACACAAACAAGAUAACUCCUACUUUAUUUUCCAACCGUCAAUUUUUUAUUCACCCAGCCUAAAAGUCCUGAUUAUCAGUUCUGGGUCCCUGGCAAUGACUGUUGGGUACAAACUGAGAAGCUGUGCUCUGAAGGUAGGGCUGGGCUUUUCACUGACCAUGUAGGUGGAUUAGUUGUGUGGGCAAAGUGUGUCAUCAUAGCCACUAUGUUUUCUGCACUUGGAGUAGACAGCACCUUGAUAGCUCAGUUGGUAGAGCAGAGGACUGUAGGCAGUUCCUCCUAUGAAGUGCUGUCGUUCCAAGGUCGCUGGUUCAACUCCCGCUCAAAGCAAGCCUUGUCUUCAUCUGUCAGCUCCUCCAAAAUUUAAAAACACAAACAAGAUAACUCCUACUUUAUUUUCCAACCGUCAAUUUUUUAUUCACCCAGCCUAAAAGUCCUGAUUAUCAGUUCUGGGUCCCUGGCAAUGACUGUUGGGUACAAACUGAGAAGCUGUGCUCUGAAGGUAGGGCUGGGCUUUUCACUGACCAUGUAGGUGGAUUAGUUGUGUGGGCAAAGUGUGUCAUCAUAGCCACUAUGUUUUCUGCACUUGGAGUAGACAGCACCUUGAUAGCUCAGUUGGUAGAGCAGAGGACUGUAGGCAGUUCCUCCUAUGAAGUGCUGUCGUUCCAAGGUCGCUGGUUCAACUCCCGCUCAAAGCAAGCCUUGUCUUCAUCUGUCAGCUCCUCCAAAAUUUAAAAACACAAACAAGAUAACUCCUACUUUAUUUUCCAACCAUCAAUUUUUUAUUCACCCAGCCUAAAAGUCCUGAUUAUCAGUUCUGGGUCCCUGGCAAUGACUGUUGGGUACAAACUGAGAAGCUGUGCUCUGAAGGUAGGGCUGGGCUUUUCACUGACCAUGUAGGUGGAUUAGUUGUGUGGGCAAAGUGUGUCAUCAUAGCCACUAUGUUUUCUGCACUUGGAGUAGACAGCACCUUGAUAGCUCAGUUGGUAGAGCAGAGGACUGUAGGCAGUUCCUCCUAUGAAGUGCUGUCGUUCCAAGGUCGCUGGUUCAACUCCCGCUCAAAGCAAGCCUUGUGUUCAUCUGUCAGCUCCUCCAAAAUUUAAAAACACAAACAAGAUAACUCCUACUUUAUUUUCCAACCGUCAAUUUUUUAUUCACCCAGCCUAAAAGUCCUGAUUAUCAGUUCUGGGUCCCUGGCAAUGACUGUUGGGUACAAACUGAGAAGCUGUGCUCUGAAGGUAGGGCUGGGCUUUUCACUGACCAUGUAGGUGGAUUAGUUGUGUGGGCAAAGUGUGUCAUCAUAGCCACUAUGUUUUCUGCACUUGGAGUAGACAGCACCUUGAUAGCUCAGUUGGUAGAGCAGAGGACUGUAGGCAGUUCCUCCUAUGAAGUGCUAUGGUUCCAAGGUCGCUGGUUCAACUCCCGCUCAAAGCAAGCCUUGUGUUCAUCUGUCAGCUCCUCCAAAAUUUAAUAACACAAACAAGAUAACUCCUACUUUAUUUUCCAACCGUCAAUUUUUUGUUCACCCAGCCUAAAAGUCCUGAUUAUCAGUUCUGGGUCCCUGGCAAUGACUGUUGGGUACAAACUGAGAAGCUGUGCUCUGAAGGUAGGUCUGGGCUUUUCACUGACCAUGUAGGUGGAUUAGUUGUGUGGGCAAAGUGUGUCAUCAUAGCCACUAUGUUUUCUGCACUUGGAGUAGACAGCACCUUGAUAGCUCAGUUGGUAGAGCAGAGGACUGUAGGCAGUUCCUCCUAUGAAGUGCUGUGGUUCCAAGGUCGCUGGUUCAACUCCCGCUCAAAGCAAGCCUUGUGUUCAUCUGUCAGCUCCUCAAAAAUUUAAAAACACAAACAAGAUAACUCCUACUUUAUUUUCCAACCGUCAAUUUUUUAUUCACCCAGCCUAAAAGUCCUGAUUAUCAGUUCUGGGUCCCUGGAAAUGACUGUUGGGUACAAACUGAGAAGCUGUGCUCUGAAGGUAGGGCUGGGCUUUUCACUGACCAUGUAGGUGGAUUAGUUGUGUGGGCAAAGUGUGUCAUCAUAGCCACUUUGUUUUCUGCACUUGGAGUAGACAGCACCUUGAUAGCUCAGUUGGUAGAGCACAGGACUGUAGGCAGUUCCUCCUAUGAAGUGCUGUCGUUCCAGGGUCGCUGGUUCAACUCCCGCUCAAAGCAAGCCUUGUGUUCAUCUGUCAGCUCCUCCAAAAUUUAAAAACACAAACAAGAUAACUCCUACUUUAUUUUCCAACCAUCAAUUUUUUAUUCACCCAGCCUAAAAGUCCUGAUUAUCAGUUCUGGGUCCCUGGCAAUGACUGUUGGGUACAAACUGAGAAGCUGUGCUCUGAAGGUAGGGCUGGGCUUUUCACUGACCAUGUAGGUGGAUUAGUUGUGUGGGCAAAGUGUGUCAUCAUAGCCACUAUGUUUUCUGCACUUGGACUAGACAGCACCUUGAUAGCUCAGUUGGUAGAGCAGAGGACUGUAGGCAGUUCCUCCUAUGAAGUGCUCUCGUUCCAAGGUCGUUGGUUCAACUCCCGCUCAAAGCAAGCCUUGUGUUCAUCUGUCAGCUCCUCCAAAAUUUAAAAACACAAACAAGAUAACUCCUACUUUAUUUUCCAACCGUCAAUUUUUUGUUCACCCAGCCUAAAAGUCCUGAUUAUCAGUUCUGGGUCCCUGGCAAUGACUGUUGGGUACAAACUGAGAAGCUGUGCUCUGAAGGUAGGGCUGGGCUUUUCACUGACCAUGUAGGUGGAUUAGUUGUGUGGGCAAAGUGUGUCAUCAUAGCCACUAUGUUUUCUGCACUUGGAGUAGACAGCACCUUGAUAGCUCAGUUGGUAGAGCAGAGGACUGUAGGCAGUUCCUCCUAUGAAGUGCUGUCGUUCCAAGGUCGCUGGUUCAACUCCCGCUCAAAGCAAGCCUUGUCUUCAUCUGUCAGCUCCUCAAAAAUUUAAAAACACAAACAAGAUAACUCCUACUUUAUUUUCCAACCGUCAAUUUUUUAUUCACCCAGCCUAAAAGUCCUGAUUAUCAGUUCUGGGUCCCUGGCAAUGACUGUUGGGUACAAACUGAGAAGCUGUGCUCUGAAGGUAGGGCUGGCCUUUUCACUGACCAUGUAGGUGGAUUAGUUGUGUGGGCAAAGUGUGUCAUCAAAGCCACUAUGUUUUCUGCACUUGGAGUAGACAGCACCUUGAUAGCUCAGUUGGUAGAGCAGACGACUGUAGGCAGUUCCUCCUAUGAAGUGCUGUCGUUCCAGGGGCGCUUGUUCAACUCCCGCUCAAAGCAAGCCUUGUCUUCAUCUGUCAGCUCCUCUAAAAUUUAAAAACACAAACAAGAUAACUCCUACUUUAUUUUCCAACCAUCAAUUUUUUAUUCACCCAGCCUAAAAGUCCUGAUUAUCAGUUCUGGGUCCCUGGCAAUGACUGUUGGGUACAAACUGAGAAGCUGCGCUCUGAAGGUAGGGCUGGGCUUUUCACUGACCAUGUAGGUGGAUUAGUUGUGUGGGCAAAGUGUGUCAUCAUAGCCACUAUGUUUUCUGCACUUGGAGUAGACAGCACCUUGAUAGCUCAGUUGGUAGAGCAGAGGACUGUAGGCAGUUCCUCCUAUGAAGUGCUGUCGUUCCAGGGUCGCUGGUUCAACUCCCGCUCAAAGCAAGCCUUGUGUUCAUCUGUCAGCUCCUCCAAAAUUUAAAAACACAAACAAGAUAACUCCUACUUUAUUUUCCAACCAUCAAUUUUUUAUUCACCCAGCCUAAAAGUCCUGAUUAUCAGUUCUGGGUCCCUGGCAAUGACUGUUGGGUACAAACUGAGAAGCUGCGCUCUGAAGGUAGGGCUGGCCUUUUCACUGACCAUGUAGGUGGAUUAGUUGUGUGGGUAAAGUGUGUCAUCAUAGCCACUAUGUUUUCUGCACUUGGAGUAGACAGCACCUUGAUAGCUCAGUUGGUAGAGCAGAGGACUGUAGGCAGUUCCUCCUAUGAAGUGCUGUGGUUCCAAGGUCACUGAUUCAACUCCCGCUCAAAGCAAGCCUUGUGUUCAUCUGUCAGCUCCUCCAAAAUUUAAAAACACAAACAAGGUAACUCCUACUUUAUUUUCCAACCAUCAAUUUUUUAUUCACCCAGCCUAAAAGUCCUGAUUAUCAGUUCUGGGUCCCUGGCAAUGACUGUUGGGUACAAACUGAGAAGCUGUGCUCUGAAGGUAGGGCUGGGCUUUUCACUGACCAUGUAGGUGGAUUAGUUGUGUGGGCAAAGUGUGUCAUCAUAGCCACUAUGUUUUCUGCACUUGGAGUAGACAGCACCUUGAUAGCUCAGUUGGUAGAGCAGACGACUGUAGGCAGUUCCUCCUAUGAAGUGCUGUCGUUCCAGGGUGGCUUGUUCAACUCCCGCUCAAAGCAAGCCUUGUCUUCAUCUGUCAGCUCCUCUAAAAUUUAAAAACACAAACAAGAUAACUCCUACUUUAUUUUCCAACCAUCAAUUUUUUAUUCACCCAGCCUAAAAGUCCUGAUUAUCAGUUCUGGGUCCCUGGCAAUGACUGUUGGGUACAAACUGAGAAGCUGCGCUCUGAAGGUAGGGCUGGGCUUUUCACUGACCAUGUAGGUGGAUUAGUUGUGUGGGCAAAGUGUGUCAUCAUAGCCACUAUGUUUUCUGCACUUGGAGUAGACAGCACCUUGAUAGCUCAGUUGGUAGAGCAGAGGACUGUAGGCAGUUCCUCCUAUGAAGUGCUGUCGUUCCAGGGUCGCUGGUUCAACUCCCGCUCAAAGCAAGCCUUGUGUUCAUCUGUCAGCUCCUCCAAAAUUUAAAAACACAAACAAGAUAACUCCUACUUUAUUUUCCAACCAUCAAUUUUUUAUUCACCCAGCCUAAAAGUCCUGAUUAUCAGUUCUGGGUCCCUGGCAAUGACUGUUGGGUACAAACUGAGAAGCUGCGCUCUGAAGGUAGGGCUGGCCUUUUCACUGACCAUGUAGGUGGAUUAGUUGUGUGGGCAAAGUGUGUCAUCAUAGCCACUAUGUUUUCUGCACUUGGAGUAGACAGCACCUUGAUAGCUCAGUUGGUAGAGCAGAGGACUGUAGGCAGUUCCUCCUAUGAAGUGCUGUGGUUCCAAGGUCACUGAUUCAACUCCCGCUCAAAGCAAGCCUUGUGUUCAUCUGUCAGCUCCUCCAAAAUUUAAAAACACAAACAAGGUAACUCCUACUUUAUUUUCCAACCAUCAAUUUUUUAUUCACCCAGCCUAAAAGUCCUGAUUAUCAGUUCUGGGUCCCUGGCAAUGACUGUUGGGUACAAACUGAGAAGCUGUGCUCUGAAGGUAGGGCUGGGCUUUUCACUGACCAUGUAGGUGGAUUAGUUGUGUGGGCAAAGUGUGUCAUCAUAGCCACUAUGUUUUCUGCACUUGGAGUAGACAGCACCUUGAUAGCUCAGUUGGUAGAGCAGAGGACUGUAGGCAGUUCCUCCUAUGAAGUGCUGUGGUUCCAAGGUCGCUGGUUCAACUCCUGCUCAAACCAAGCCUUGUGUUCAUCUGUCAGCUCCUCCAAAAUUUAAAAACACAAACAAGAUAACUCCUACUUUAUUUUCCAACUAUCAAUUUUUUAUUCACCCAGCCUUAAAGUCCUGAUUAUCAGUUCUGGGUCCCUGGCAAUGACUGUUGGGUACAAACUGAGAAGCUGUGCUCUGAAGGUAGGGCUGGGCUUUUCACUGACCAUGUAGGUGGAUUAGUUGUGUGGGCAAAGUGUGUCAUCAUAGCCACUAUGUUUUCUGCACUUGGAGUAGACAGCACCUUGAUAGCUCAGUUGGUAGAGCAGAGGACUGUAGGCAGUUCCUCCUAUGAAGUGCUGUCGUUCCAGGGUCGCUGGUUCAACUCCUGCUCAAAGCAAGCCUUGUGUUCAUCUGUCAGCUCCUCCAAAAUUUAAAAACACAAACAAGAUAACUCCUACUUUAUUUUCCAACCAUCAAUUUUUUAUUCACCCAGCCUAAAAGUCCUGAUUAUCAGUUCUGGGUCCCUGGCAAUGACUGUUGGGUACAAACUGAGAAGCUGUGCUCUGAAGGUAGGGCUGGGCUUUUCACUGACCAUGUAGGUGGAUUAGUUGUGUGGGCAAAGUGUGUCAUCAUAGCCACUAUGUUUUCUGCACUUGGAGUAGACAGCACCUUGAUAGCUCAGUUGGUAGAGCAGAGGACUGUAGGCAGUUCCUCCUAUGAAGUGCUGUGGUUCCAAGGUCGCUGGUUCAACUCCCGCUCAAAGCAAGCCUUGUGUUCAUCUGUCAGCUCCUCCAAAAUUUAAAAACACAAACAAGAUAACUCCUACUUUAUUUUCCAACCGUCAAUUUUUUAUUCACCCAGCCUAAAAGUCCUGAUUAUCAGUUCUGGGUCCCUGGCAAUGACUGUUGGGUACAAACUGAGAAGCUGCGCUCUGAAGGUAGGGCUGGGCUUUUCACUGACCAUGUAGGUGGAUUAGUUGUGUGGGCAAAGUGUGUCAUCAUAGCCACUAUGUUUUCUGCACUUGGAGUAGACAGCACCUUGAUAGCUCAGUUGGUAGAGCAGAGCACUGUAGGCAGUUCCUCCUAUGAAGUGCUGUGGUUCCAAGGUCGCUGGUUCAACUCCCGCUCAAAGCAAGCCUUGUGUUCAUCUGUCAGCUCCUCCAAAAUUUAAAAACACAAACAAGAUAACUCCUACUUUAUUUUCCAACCGUCAAUUUUUUGUUCACCCAGCCUAAAAGUCCUGAUUAUCAGUUCUGGGUCCCUGGCAAUGACUGUUGGGUACAAACUGAGAAGCUGUGCUCUGAAGGUAGGGCUGGGCUUUUCACUGACCAUGUAGGUGGAUUAGUUGUGUGGGCAAAGUGUGUCAUCAUAGCCACUAUGUUUUCUGCACUUGGAGUAGACAGCACCUUGAUAGCUCAGUUGGUAGAGCAGAGGACUGUAGGCAGUUCCUCCUAUGAAGUGCUGUGGUUCCAAGGUCGCUGGUUCAACUCCCGCUCAAAGCAAGCCUUGUGUUCAUCUGUCAGCUCCUCCAAAAUUUAAAAACACAAACAAGAUAACUCCUACUUUAUUUUCCAACCGUCAAUUUUUUAUUCACCCAGCCUAAAAGUCCUGAUUAUCAGUUCUGGGUCCCUGGCAAUGACUGUUGGGUACAAACUGAGAAGCUGUGCUCUGAAGGUAGGGCUGGGCUUUUCACUGACCAUGUAGGUGGAUUAGUUGUGUGGGCAAAGUGUGUCAUCAUAGCCACUAUGUUUUCUGCACUUGGAGUAGACAGCACCUUGAUAGCUCAGUUGGUAGAGCACAGGACUGUAGGCAGUUCCUCCUAUGAAGUGCUGUCGUUCCAGGGUCGCUGGUUCAACUCCCGCUCAAAGCAAGCCUUGUGUUCAUCUGUCAGCUCCUCCAAAAUUUAAAAACACAAACAAGAUAACUCCUACUUUAUUUUCCAACCAUCAAUUUUUUAUUCACCCAGCCUAAAAGUCCUGAUUAUCAGUUCUGGGUCCCUGGCAAUGACUGUUGGGUACAAACUGAGAAGCUGUGCUCUGAAGGUAGGGCUGGGCUUUUCACUGACCAUGUAGGUGGAUUAGUUGUGUGGGCAAAGUGUGUCAUCAUAGCCACUAUGUUUUCUGCACUUGGAGUAGACAGCACCUUGAUAGCUCAGUUGGUAGAGCAGAGGACUGUAGGCAUUUCCUCCUAUGAAGUGCUGUCGUUCCAAGGUCGCCGGUUCAACUCCCGCUCAAAGCAAGCCUUGUCUUCAUCUGUCAGCUCCUCCAAAAUUUAGAAACACAAACAAAAUAACUCCUACUAUAUUUUCCAACCGUCAAUUUUUUAUUCACCCAGCCUAAAAGUCCUGAUUAUCAGUUCUGGGUCCCUGGCAAUGACUGUUGGGUACAAACUGAGAAGCUGUGCUCUGAAGGUAGGGCUGGGCUUUUCACUGACCAUGUAGGUUGAUUAGUUGUGUGGGCAAAGUGUGUCAUCAUAGCCACUAUGUUUUCUGCAAUUGGAGUAGGCAGCACCUUGAUAGCUCAGUUGGUACAGCAGAGGGCUAUGGGAAACUCCUGUCAAGUGCUGUGAUGCAAAGGUCGCAGCUUCAACUCCUGCUGUAAGCACAUGCAUUUCAUUGGUGUCAAUGUUCUUCGUCUAAUUGAACUGAAAUAAUGCAAAUCCUUGUCUUCAUCUGUCAACUCCUCCAAAAUGUAAAAACACAAAAAAGAAAACUAUUGCUUAAUUUUCCAACCAUCACUUUUUUUAUUCACCCAGCCUAAAGGCCUGAUUAUCAGUUCUGGGUCCUUGGCAAUAACUGUUGGGUACAAACUGCAAAGCUCUGUUCUGAAGGUAGGACUGGGCUUUUGAUUGGCCAUGUCAAUCAAAAGCCCAGCCUAAAAAUCCUGAUUAUCAGUUUUGGGUCUCUGGCAAUGACUGUUGGGUACAAACUGCAAAGCUUUGUUCUGCGGGUAGGGCUGGGCUUUUCAUUGACCAUGUGGGUCUUAUAGUUGUUUGGGCAAAGUGUGUCGCCUCAGCCACUAUGUUUUCUGCACUUGUGAGUGGAGAGCACCUUGAUAGCUCAUUUGGUAGAGCAGAGGGCUAUGGUAAACUCCUAACAAGUGCUUUGUUGUAAAGGUCGCAUAUUCAACUCCCGUUCUAAACACAUGCAUUUCAUUGGUGCCAAUGUUCUUGGUCUAAUCACACUGAAAUAAUGCCAAUCCUUGUCUUCAUCUGUCAACUCCUCCAAAAUAUAAAAAAAAACAAAAAAGAAAACUAUUGCUUAAUUUUCCAACCAUCACUUUUUUUAUUCACCCAGCCUAAAGGCCUGAUUAUCAGUUCUGGGUCCUUGGCAUUAAUUGUUGGGUACAAACUGCAAAGCUCUGUUCUGAAGGUAGGGCUGGGCUUUUCAUUGACCAUGUGGGUCGAAUAGUUGUGUGGGCAAAGUGUGUCGCCUCAGCCACUAUGUUUUCUGCACUCAUGAGUGGAGAGCACCUUGAUAGCUCAGUUUGUAGAGCAGAGGGCUAUAGGAACCUCCUAUGAAUUGCUUUGAUGCAAAGGUUGCAGGUUCAACUCCUGCUCAAAGCACAAGCAUUUCAUUGGUGCCAAUGUUCUUUGUCCAAUCACACUGAAAUAAUGCUAAUCAUUGUCUUCAUCUGUCAACUCCUCCAAAAUGUAAAACCACAAAAAAGAAAACUAUUGCUUAAUUUUCCAACCAUCACUUUUUUUUAUUCACCCAGCCUAAAGGCCUGAUUAUCAGUUCUGGGUCCUUGGCAAUAACUGUUGGGUACAAACUGCAAAGCUCUGUUCUGAAAGUAGGACUGGGCUUUUGAUUGGCCAUGUGGGUCGAAUAGUUGUGUGGGCAAAGUGUGUCGCCUCAGCCACUAUGUUUUCUGCACUCUUGAGUGGAGAGCACCUUGAUAGCUCAGUUUGUAGAGCAGAGGGCUAUAGGAACCUCCUAUGAAUUGCUUUGAUGCAAAGGUUGCAGGUUCAACUCCUGCUCAAAGCACAAGCAUUUCAUUGGUGCCAAUGUUCUUUGUCCAAUCACACUGAAAUAAUGCUAAUCAUUGUCUUCAUCUGUCAACUCCUCCAAAAUGUAAAACCACAAAAAAGAAAACUAUUGCUUAAUUUUCCAACCAUCACUUUUUUUAUUCACCCAGCCUAAAGGCCUGAUUAUCAGUUCUGGGUCCUUGGCAAUAACUGUUGGGUACAAACUGCAAAGCUCUGUUCUGAAAGUAGGACUGGGCUUUUCAUUGGCCAUGUCAAUCAAAAGCCCAGCUUAAAAGUCCUGAUUAUCAGUUCUGGAUCCUUGGCAAUGACUGUUGGCUACAAACUGCAACGCUUUGUUCUGCAGGUAGGGCUGGGCUUUUCAUUGACCAUGUGGGUCUAAUAGUUGUGUGGGCAAAGUGUGUCACCUCAGCCACUAUGUUUUCUGCACUCAUGAGUGGAGAGCACCUUGAUAGCUCAGUUUGUAGAGCAGACGGCUAUAGGAAGCUCCUAUGAAUUGCUUUGAUGCAAAGGUUGCAGGUUCAACUCCUGCUCAAAGCACAUGCAUUUCACUGGUUCCAAUUUUCUUGGUCUAAUCACACUGGAAAAAUGCCAAUCCUUGUCUUCAUCUGUCAACUCCUCCAAAAUGUAAAAACACAAAUAAGAAAACACUUCCAUAAUUUUCCAACCAUCACUUUUUUUAUUCAACCAGCCUAAAGGCCUGAUUAUCAGUUCUGGGUACUUGGCAAUAACUGUACAAACUGCAAAGCUCUGUUCUGUAGUAAAUUACCUUAAAAGGCAGGAAGGUGAGAAGUGGCAUAAGUUUAAUUUGUUGUUCUACUGGUAGUAUGAUAAGUAGUCAUAGUAGUGAUAUUAGUAGUCAUGUAGUGAAAUUAGUAUUCAUGUAUGCAGUAGAAAUAGUUUGAGAGUUUGCCUUGCAAACUCCUGGCCUCGGGGCCCAGACCCCCCAUGAUCUGGUCCUGCAUACAUAGUCUUAUCCACUAUCUAGUGUCAGAAAACAGAUUAAUUCAGAGUAAAGCACUUGAGGGAAUGCUCUUAUAAUAUUGACAUUGACAGCCUCUGUAUUAAUUUUGACUUAGUUUUAGACAACAUUGCUGAAGAGGCUGUGACUAAGCCAUACAGACAGUUUUUCUUAUCAGUCUACUGACUGAUAAAUGUCUGUGCUGCCAAAAAUAACUUGUUUUCACUGUGGAGUUUUAUAUGUGGAGACAUGGACCUAUAUGUGUUAAGGGUUAAUUUAGCUGAACAAGAGCCUAGGGGGAUUUUUCUCUAGGCACUGCAAUUACACAUGGUGGGCCUGCAGGCUAAUGCCAUGGAUUAAUGAUCUUGCCAGUUCAUGAUUUAUCAAGAUUGAUUUCUUUUCCAGUCUGUUGCACAGAUGCGAAAAUAAAAUAACAAGAAUGGUGCAAGUGUUGUUUAUUCAAAAACAGUAUACGAGUAAUCCCAGAAGAAUGAGUAAGAAAAGAGCAUCCUCUUAACUGCACCACCUGCCCCUGAGAGCACGUCUAAGUGGACUUGAUAACACACAAUGAAUCAAAGCUGUGUGCCUGUCUAUUUUGUUUGACCAUAUAUGGCUAUCUUCUGUGGCCUGUUUGUAUGCUGAGAUGAGCAGAGGGAUCAAAGUUGCAACCUGGUAAGUUGACUGAAAUUCAUGGACACUUCAGCAAGUGUUUUUCAGAUUUGUGAUACAAUGAAAGACAAAGUGAUUUUUCAAUGAAAUGUCUUUUUAUUGCAAUUGUGUCUGGGAGAACUUGCACACAAUACGGCAUCUUCAUUGAUAUCAGUUCACUCUAAAGCAGGCUUUUGCCCCCUGGUUGCGCACACACCUUGUAUUGUUUGUACACAAGAAACCCGUCAACAUUUUGAUUCUCAUAUAACAAGUCAGAUAUUGCAUGCAGAAAAAAUUCAGCUUGUACCCAGGGGUGAAUGUAGGAUGAGGUUCUUGCAGGUACUGUACCAGUGGGCUUUGUACAAGAGUAGCACACCCAAGUUUAACGACGUACUGACUCUGGUGCCAAAGUAUCAUCAUCUGCUGCAUCUCACUUUCUCUUGAGCAUAAAAUCAAGUUUUCUCUGCAUUUUGUUUGAUUUCGGCAUUAAAACUGAAGCAGCUGUCUCUUUAAAAAUUCCUUUCUUCCGGAAAAGGCGGAAGGCGGUCCACAGCUCCUAGGCAACCAGCGUCCAAUCAAAAGUGCGCCCUGAGAGCUCCAAAUUUCUGCAGUUUGUUUGUUUGCGGAAGCAAAUACAACUCACUCAAAAGGAGCAUGGUCCUGUUGGAUUACUGCCGUUACAAUGGAGAGUGCAGACUGACGUGCGGCAACACGGUAAGCAAAUGUAGCCUACAUACAUGAAAGAUUUACGUGAAAGUUUGUCUACCGCUGCAUACUGGCUGUAAACUGUUGUUUAUGUCUUCACGGUACGACGUACCGCUGCAUACCGGCUUACUUUCAGCCCUGCUUGUACUACAGUCGUCAUUGUCUAGUUCAGCAUUCCAGUUUAAUGACCGUGAAGAUCUAUAGGGGACAGUGGGGUAAGUUGAGCCACCCCCUGUUGCUUGAUAAUGGUCAAAGAAGUUGAUCAUGUGACCAAAUAUUUAGGAGAUGGACAUCAAUUCAUGGAGUCUGUGAAGGUUAGAAGCACAUGGGUGAAGAAGUUAGACAUUUAUUUAAAAAAAAAAAAAAAAACAUUUUUCACUCUAGAAAGUGAAUUUAGUCUGUCAUAAGUUUUACUAGAAUUGUGUUCAGACCAAAAACGAUCAUUUUAAAUUUGUUUUAUACAUCUACUGUGGUAUCUAUGAGCUACAACAUGAGGUCAAAACCUAGUAUAAAAGUCCACCAUUUUAGCUUAAUGUCUCCAGAGGUUUACAAGCUUCGCAACAUCUUGAAAUAUAUACAGAUUCACAAGUUUGAGACAAAACUAUAAGAGUCUUGAUGUAGUGAUCUGAAAUAUGAAAAAUGUCUCAUCUUACCUGUAUUACAAGUUCAGAUCAGUUUACUGCAGGUGUAACGGGUGAUAAUUAUUAUGGAGAAAACUGUGUGAUCCUCCUACCUACUAAUUUUGUAUUCACUUGUGACCUUUAACGGCACCACGAAGUGUUGAAAGUGAGCAAAUCAUUGCAUGUGUGCACUUAAUAUUUACAUAUAACAAAUACUCCAUAUAUGCAUACUAAACUGGCUCCCACACACAUACAGUGCUGUAGAGAGUAGAUUUGCCACCAACAUUAAUCUUUCUACUUUUGGAUCAAAGAAUAGUUACUUUACAUAAUGGCUCCUGGUGUGACAUUUUCACUGGAAAUGAUUCUUUUAAAACUCCAAACUGUUGAGCUCACUUUCAUUGACACUUUCCUUCUAAAAGGGACCAAGAGAUUUAUGUUCCCCCCUGCUACAGGAGGGUUAAAUUCCUUCUUAAAGAUUCAGAUUUCAGUGAUCAAAAAGGUCAGAUUGUGCCCAAAAAUAUGUACGUUAUUUCCUCCCCAGCUCCCCUUUCUUUGCGUAUAUCUUCUCUCCUCUCUGUGUUGUCUUAAAUCUUUGUUGAUAUUCAUCAGGUGAAAUGAGGUGCAGAGACAACACUCCAUUAAUAUCCUAUGCCCUCCUGAACAUCUGCAGUGACACGUCAAAACAUUAGCAAUGACAGAUGGGUUCGCUGAUCUGCAACGAGGCUGACGCACCAGCUCUUCUUAUACCUUCUCAGUAUUCCCUGCUACACAACAACCCCUUUGCAGACAAACACAAGAACAGCCGGCAAACAAACACCCAAACACCAAAUUAUUUACUAACAGAUUGUUCAUAAUCAAGCCUGAGAGGGUUGUGAGAUGAUGUUAGUGUGUUUCUAGUGUUCGCUUUCAGGGGUGUGUGUUCCAGUCAAAUUAUAGAAAUAAGUAAAAGAGCAAUAAGACACAUGAAUAGAAAAAAACUAAAAUGAUAACAUGCAGCACAAAAUUUGUCAUUAACCAUGCAACGUUAAAAAAAUUUGAUAUUUGAGCAGGGAAAAGUGCUUUAUUCCCCAAAGCUGAGCGUAAAGUAGGUGUUCGUUGUGAAAUCCCAGUGCAGAAAUAUCUAAUUAACUGCCCUGUGACUUCAUCAGCAACAACAAAAUGUUUGAUGGGAGGUUGAUUUUGAUGGAGAAUCCCUGCUGUCGUUAUCAGAGAUGAGAAAUAAGGAACUGCUGUCCCUGGUGAAUCCUGCAGCUCAAACAAUCAGGCUCAAUUCAGAGCAGAAAUAAAAGGAUCUUUUUUUUUAUUAUUUAUAUCAGCUUAAUUACAUCUAUAAAUGGAAAUCCUUUCCUCUUAAUGAGAGUGAAGAGCCUCAUGCAGAGGGAGAAAAAAAUUAGACAAUAGAUUGGCUCACAGGGGGGGAACUUGAAUGUAUUAUGGGUUGAAAUGCUUGUUCUUUUCUCGCAAAGCUUGUAAAGCUCUGGAGACAUUAAUGCUGGUCUUGGUUAGUAUAUCGGUGUCUGAGCUUUUAUUUUGGUUCACACUGAAAUGCUUGAACAGCAAGUUAGCUGUGGAAUGAAUAAAACGAUGGAUGACACAACAACUCCUGUAAAGUGAAGCCAAUGUAUUUGAAGCUUCCCUUCCUGACUAGCUGCGUUCAAGGGAUAUUCUGGCGUAAAAUUAAUUUAGUCCAUUAUGGACUGCUGUGGGGUGCCGCAGCUCAAGGGAGAAUAUUUCUGAUCAUUUGGACUGGCCCAAGGUCUCGCUACAAACAAGUGGCUGCUGGAAGAGAGUAGGUGAAUUGUGGUUAGUCUCUUUGCUAAAUAAUUUUGCAAAGUCAAAAAGAUAUUUGGUGGCUAGUACUGUGGCUUGGACCCUAUAUGUACUGUUGAUGAAGUUAGGUGCUGUUCUGAGCAUUAUUUGUGGCUAUAGAGUGGCUUUUUGGUUGAGGUUUAUGUAUGGCUCCUGGAACUGCUGCGUAUUGCUAUCCUGUGGUCAUUACCAAAGUUGGUUAAACUAGAGAAGCAAGCGGUCUGCACCAUUCAUCUCUUGAGGGGGUGUCUAACUCUGUGGUACGGUGUGUUUGACCCUAAAUUAAUUUUAUGCCGGAAUAUCCCUUUAAUGGAGAGCAUCCAGGUUCUGUAACAGCUUCUUCCCAACAGCAAUAAGACUUUUGAACUCUCAGUUUAAACAAACUUUAGUUGAUUCAUGCAUACUUUUUUCUGUUUUUGUUGAUUUCAAAAAUAAUCCAAAAUAAGAUUUGCUUUCUUGUGUGUAUUUCAGUGAUUGAUCUGUGCCAUAAAGUGAAAUUUAUGUUUUUCUCUUGUUUACGUCUGGCCUGGCGAGGACAGAUUUUAUCUUUAUUUAUCAAGAGUCGGAGUUAAAUUAAGACUGAUCCAGACUGAGUUAGAUUAAAAACUUAGUGAGUAAACUUAAGGCUUAACCCUGGCGCUAACAGCCCCCCUGAUGCUACUUUCUUUUUUAAAGUCUGGUACAUUACCAUGGCAACCGCACUGAUGAUAGUCAUCUUUAAAGACAUAAAAAGCCAUCCUUAAUCUCCCCAGUCAACUUGGGGGGGAAAUGGCAUCACCCACCACUCCUUAUAGAUGCUGUUGAUGCUGAUACAUAAACAGCAAGUAGGAGGAGGUGUUUUCUUCUUCUGAUGAGAUGAGUCGUUUUUCCUUUGAAAAGUCAGCCCACUGUGUCUUUAUGGCAGCAUAGUAAUGUUUAUGCACCACUUUCAAUUUUCCUCCAGGAAUCCUCUUUGAGCUCUGGAGGCAUAAACAGCUUCUUUUUGCAGUUUUAUUUUCUGUGUUGUGCAACAUAUCGAUCAUCAAAGAUAGUCCCAGAUUUUGUGUCUUAGUCAUAUUGAACAUCCCAGCUCCAUGUGUUUACAUAACCCCACAAUUUAUGGCAUGGUAUGUAUUACCUUAUGUCAUAUUUUACUUAAACACUCCAAACAAUUGCAUAAUUCUAUAUAUUUUUUAAUCAUCUUACUUUUGCUAUUGCAUGGAAAUUAUUGAAUCACGGGUAUCAUUUUUGUUAUUGUGCUGCAUUCAAAAUGAACUUCUUGAAUGAUAUUUAAGAUUAUCUGUAAUUUUCAUAACUCUUCAGGCUUUGACCUCUAGCAGGCAUGUGGUUUUGUGUAAGGAUCGGCACCAAUGGGCCCAAGGCUAUGGCUGUCUGCUGCCGUGCCCCUUCCAGAUAGGGAGUGGGUCUUUGUCGCUGUACUGUAAGAGUAGAACCUGUUUUAGGUUUGACAGGCAUGUUGGUGCUGUGUCAGCAGGAAUAUAGCCAUUGUACCAUCAUGGUGAAGAGGGGUUGAGCCCGGAGGCAAAGCUUUCAGUUCACCUGUCAGUUCAUGCGCUAAUCCUCACCUUUGGUCAUGAGCUUUGGAUAGUGACUAAAGGAAUGAGAUCACUGAUACAAGCAGCCAAAUUGAGUUUCCUCCCAAGGGGAGCUGGGCUUAGCCUUUAAGAUAGGCUUGAACAGCCCAAGGGAGCUCAGAGUAGAGCAGUUGCCGCUCUCUACCAAAAGGAGUCAGUUUAGGUUUUGUGGGUGCAUCUAACUGGAAAGAUGCAUAGGGUAGACCCAGAGCUCACUGGAGGGCGAACAAAUACCAUCUGGCUUUGAAAGCCUCGGGUUCACCCAAGUCUGGUCUGGAAAACUUUGGGUAGAGCAAUGUCAGGGUCAACUUGUUAUGCCAGCUGCCACAGCGGCUUAACCCUAGAUAUGCUGGAAAAAAAUGGACUAAUGAAAUAAUCUGUUCUGCCAGAAAAAUUAACAUAUAUGCGUUUUAUAUUCACUUAUUCAUUUAUAUUCUCAUUAAAUCCAGCCACCACUGUAGGUGCUCGUAAGGUUUUCUCUUUUUAAGGUUUCUUUCUUUCUCUCUCUUUUUUUAAGCACCAUCUUUCCAAACGAUGAAUACUCAGAGAUAGAGAGAAGGUGGGUGAAGGUAAAACUGAUGCAUAAAGUUGAAUGGACACUCUGGCACUCUGGCAUGGUUGGGUUCACACCAAAUGAUGUGGAAAUAGUCGAAAAAUCAAUACAGUAGGCUUGAUUCAUCAUUCUAUCUUUCAACCUUUCUGACUGUCUAAACCUGGUGCCCUGAAUCCCAAAAUGCAAUGUGCAAAUUUGAGCUCAGCUAGCCCAUGACUUUUUGUUUUUUUUACAAUAAAGUGGUCAUGACUCAGUUUUCUGUUGCAGAAAAGAGAAAAAAAAUUUGAUCUGACAAUAAAAUGAAAGCUCCCCUUUUUAUUUACAACAACACCAACAGUACUGAGGGAUAAUGUGCAAUUAAUAAUCCACCCUGUUAACUCUAACAGUCCACAAGACAGCACUAAUUCCACUUAGCAGAUGAGGGCAUAAUUAGCAUCACAACCUUAUGCUAACCUAUUCCCCCAACCUCAAAUCGCAAAUGUUAAGCCACUGUGCAUAUGCAUAGUUUGGGUUCAGGUUCGGGUGGUUCACAGCCCCGAGUGUGUAUGUUAGCAUGACAGCCUGUGGUUGCUCUGUCAAGAUGUAUUUUAGUGUUCUGCAGGGGGCUGUGUGAGCACUAUGAGAGAGAGACAGAAUCAGGGCAACAAGUUGUCUUCAGCGAGUGCGCAUUUGUUUCGUCUGCCACCAGUCCUUCAAACAAAUGACCUCCUUCACAUUAUAAAAGGAGCCAGUAAAUACCCGUGAGCACACACAAACACACGGUAAAUAAUAGCCUGGGGAACAACUAAUUAGCAUCCGACCCAAACAACUUUCCAUCCAUUGUUUUCCAAACAAGAUGUCAGACUUUCAAGCGCAAUGAAAGGUGGCUUGAAAAUGUAAUUACUCAACAUUUUCUUUCCUUUUUUCUUUUCUUUUCUUGCCAGAAAAAAAAAAUCCUUUUAAGUUGCUUCAAAGCAUUUCUCAGAUUUUGCUGUAUGCAAAGAAAUACCACAAUUGUUUGCAGACAGAAACACAGGAGGAGAAAACCAUAUGAAAACACAGUUCAGUCAAACAAAUGUCAGUAUUUGCAUUUUAUGUAUAUGACUUGCAUUUAUUACAGGAAACUUUUUGGCACCUUUGUUUCAAAAUAUAUUACCUUGGUUGUUUCUUGGACUAAAAGCAAUUCCAAGAACAAAUUUUCUAUCAAUUUUGUACUAAACUACUGAAUUUGUAUUCAGAGCUGCAACUUUCCAUCUUUAAUUGGAGGCUGAAAACUCUUAUCAGAGACACAGCAGCACUCCCAGUCCCCCAUACAGAAUCCAACCCUGCUCUGACAGUGACAGUGAUACCAUCUCAACAAUAAAAAAAAAAAAAAGACGAAGAAAAAAGGAAAAUCCUUUUUAUUCACCUUCCUUUUUAUACCUCAGCAUCUUCUUUUGUGUUUUACAUCACUUCCUUGCCUCCACGAUCAUUCUGGGAUCACAGGAGUUUUGUCGGGGCACUGUGACUCAUGUAAUCUGUCUGCUGACUCACUGGGGAUUUGAGCCAUCUAGAAAUUUUACUUUAUUGUACUGGCAUCCCCAUUGUGGAUGUUUCAACUCUUUCAGAUAAAGCCAACAGAACUGCAGCUUGAAAAUGUGCUGCGAGGCCUUCGAAAGUCUACAAAUUUGAACACAAUAGCAAAAAAUGCUCCAGUGAAAAAUCUUCAAAUUAGAGUUGAUUGAAUAUUAGUAUACCUAAAAGUGUACGACCCAAUUGUUAUAGUUAGCAUUUAAAAUCAGAUACGAUAUGAUUUGGUCUGCUUGAGAGCCAACAUUUCUGGUAGCGCCGCUGUACCUUGUCCUCUUCCUGCCUUUUGAACUUUGCACUGAUUCAGUAUGGAUGGUCCUUUUCCUCUUUAGCCCAGAAGACACAACAUCCAUGAUUUCCAGAAACAAUCUGAAAUGUGGACUCCUCAGACCGCAGCACACUUUCCACUUUGCAUCAGUCCAUCUCAGAUUAACUCAGGUCAAGAGAGGCUGGCAGCAUUUCUGGGUGUUGUUGAUAUCUGGCUUUGGUUUUUCAUGGUACAGUUUAAAGUUGCAUUUAUUGAUGUACAGACAAACUGAGUUAACUGACAAUGGUUUUCUAAAGUGUUCCUGAGCUCAUAUCGUAAAAUCCUUUACAGAAUGAUGUGGGUUUUAGUCUUUUUACUUUAGUAGUUCUUUUUACCAUUUUUAUCUUUAUCUCCAGUGUUUCCCAAAGGUAGCUCUUUCCUCACGUAAUGUCACAGUGUCAGGCCAUGUCUCUUUAACAAUAUAUCUUAAAUUCUCACAUUGUGUGCACUUGGGUGUGUGUAUGUGUGGGUUAGUGAGGGCGUGUGUGUGUCUUUGUGUGUGUGUGGGUCCAUGGGUGGGUGUGUGUAUGUGUGGGAGGUUCAAGAUUUCAUUGUUGUGAAUUGUUGUUUUUAGCCUCUGUUAGGCACUUUGAACUGCAAUUUUUGUCUGAAAAGUGCCAUAAAAAUGAAGUUGAAUUUGGAUUUUUAAUGCAGUGCUGCUUGAGGGGUCAAAGGUCAUGGGUAUUCAAUUUUAGUCUAUGGAGCUCUGGAUUCUCUGAAUCUUUUGAUGAUAUUAUAGACUUUAUAGACUUGUUGUAUAAAUUACCACUUUACUGGGUGUUGUCCUUGAUGUUGGUCUUAAGUGGAACAUUCAUAUCAGUCAAGUUUGCAAAAGGUCAAUGAAGAGCCUAGGUGUAAUUAAUAAGGUCUGUCCCUUGAUCAAUCCCUCUUCUCACUUGACUUUUUAUUAUAGCUUCCUUUUUCCUUAUAUGAGCUAUUGUAAUACUAUGGUCUGUAACGUAUCCAAUUUACUUCAAGAAAUUAUUAUUAAUCCAGAAAAGAUUCUUAAGAAUGAUAUCUUGAUCCAGCAGACACGAACCUUCUGCACCUCUCCUGUUUUUAAUGUGUGCUAGAUAAAAAAUAGGUACUUGAAGAGGGAAUGUUUGUUGUAGCUCUUUUUAGAAUUUCCCAAGGGGAAUUUUGUAGUUAGACAUCUUGUCUUUGUGUAUUCAGUUGAUUAUAAGUUGAAGAGCAUUUGCAUAUUAUUGUACUCUGUUUUUAUUCACGCUUUAAACAACCUUACUUAAAUAAAAGAUUCCUGUUUUGCACUCCAAGUUAUUUAUAUUUAUUGUUUGCACCAUCAAAAACACCUAGCCAGAUGCUGAUGAUGCUAACAUAGGUGCUCUCAAUAACCUUGAGUGAUGAAUCGAUUCAGCACUCCUCCCCUCUUCAAGAAUCCCACCCACUGUCAGCUCGUAUGGUCUUAGAAACAAACAUAUUGUAAUCCAUCAAAAGGAUGUAAAAGUGACAUGAAACAAGGUAUCUGUCAUUUUGAACUUCAAGUGAGUUACACAGCUGUGUUGCAAACCCUGCAUGAUUAGAAGCGAAGCCUGUCUUGCCUUGUUAGAUUAUACAUAGUCAAAUCUAUAAAUAGAUUCUGUGAAUACUAUAACAACCUCUUAAUGCAGUCUUGGUUUAAAUCAGUCUGUAUGCAUGUGCAGAUCUGAUUCUGCUAAAGAGUCUAAACUACUGAAUGAUUUUAUGGAUGUUGUAGCACCACGCUGCUAAAUUUUCCAAAUUAUAUUUUAGUUUUGUUUGCUGAUCCAAAUCUGAAAUCAUUGGCACAGUCUUUUCCAACACGGUUCCUCAGAAAAACUGUCUGGAUAUGGUGAAGGAAAGAUAGACACAUUGGGCUUUAAAUAGACUACAUUAUAAGACCCCUUUUUCCAAUUCAAAUUUAUGAUUAUCUUUUUUAUAUUAGUUUUUUUUUGGCACAAUAUGGGUGUGGUGGAGACUAUUGGCACUCUGUCACCACUUCCUGCUAAAAAGAGACUCUAUGUAGAGUUUACAUGUUCCCCUCUGUUUGUAUGAGUCCUUUUUAGGGGUAAGGGAGAGCGUGAUUUGUUUGGUUGGUGCGAUUAUUUUAUUGUCUACUUUAAAAGCUUCUGUCACUUCUUCACUCCUUGAAAUUUCCAAGAGCUUUGUCCCUCUGAUAGGAUGAACCAAUCCAACCCUAAACUGUAAUGACUGAGAAAGGAGACGGGGGACAGAGAUCAUACUAAAUGACAUCUCUCCUUAUUAAACCUGAUUUUAUUUCAUCAUUAUAUCAUGAUUGCAUUUCAUGUACGUUUUUGUUAAUAUUAGAAAAUGCUUUCAGGUGUUAUAAGCUGUCUGGGGCACUGAAACAGGUGCUAAAUUUAGAUACAGUCAUCAGCUGAGCAGUGAGAGGGUCACAGAGAAUGCCACAAAGAGUGAGGGCGAUCACAACAGAUGAAAUAUUUUACAUAACCCAGUAUUAUUCAAAUCUGGCAUAGUUUACCUUCCACCAAGGUGAUUAAUCAGAACUUCUAUUCUCAUAUAAAUUUGCCUGAGGUUCAAAUGAAUCAGACUUUUGUUUUUAAGAUCUCUGCAGAAGAGGAAUAUAAAUUUCAUGCUUUUGACAUAAACAUAGCUGAAACAGACUGAAUACAGUCCUCAGAACUUUGGUUUAAGAUCAGAUGUAGCUCAUGGAAAUAAUCUAGCAAGAUGCAUUGCUCCCACCAGAGAUCUAAACGUUCUAAUCUGUUAACAUGCAUGGUAAAAGUCAAGCCAAUCCAAGGCCAUCAAGUAGCCAAUAGGCUCCAGGAGGACAACACAGCACAUGUUCAAGAGGGUAACUCUUCAGUCAGCACAUACUGUACCCUGUGCUAAGAGCAGCAGCUCUAUCAUGGAUAAGCAGGUAGAGGACUGUGAGAUGAUAAGGUUCUCUCAGCAGCUCUUGUAAAAACAUGUUGUGUGCGGGGCACCUGAAUUUAAAAGUAACAUUACUCAAACAUGCUGCUGGACCGCUAGUUUGAGCUCACAUUUAAAGAUUUCAUAUUUUGCAUUUCUAGAGGGGGUAGACGGGUUGAGGUGGAGGGCAUCCUUUAAGUGUGGUUCAGAAUUCGUCUGCUGUAAUGGUAAAUCACUCUAAACUCAUUCCCAAAGCACUCUCUCCUGCCACCGUUGCU